AAAAAAAAAAAAAAGUAGGACCGAUUCCAUCCUUUGAAUUGAGUGCAUUUGACGUAGCACAAAUGUGAUUAAGAAGAAAAUCUCAGUAUAUUGGAUGUUCUGCACCUGAUGCUUGCACAGAUGGGGUGUUUAAAACCAUGGUGAUGUCCAAGGUGUAGCAACAUAAUUGCAAUCAUUCCGACAGCUAAGGCAAUGCGAUCAUCGAUAUGCCAAAAAAAGAAAUGCUGAGUGAAAUCAACUAACAAGAACCCUAAAAAAAGAGCCAAGAAGUGGGUGAAAUUAGGUAUAGUAUGCCUCCAAAAGAACCAGACAACCCCAUAUUGCACUCUCUCGUCAUGCCUUUCUGUGCAAGGGUUUUGAUUGCACGUUACAGCAAGAGGGGAUGAUGGAAGGAUGCAUCAAGGGAGAAAAGCUAAAAUGUCUUUUUCUUCGUAUUUCAUCUAUGUAUAUUUCUAUUGGGGGAGUGAGUGACCCUUUCAGUUUUCUUUUUUNNNNNNNNNNNNNNNNNNNNNNNNNNNNNNNNNNNNNNNNNNNNNNNNNNNNNNNNNNNNNNNNNNNNNNNNNNNNNNNNNNNNNNNNNNNNNNNNNNNNCCAACGGGACACAAAUCAGAGACCGUUCCUGAUUAGAUGCAGGAGUCCAGUAUGCUUCCACAAUACAGGAGUCUGAGAAACGAGCGUGAGUAUACUUUCCUGAUUUAUCAUUGCACCCAUAUUCAGAAUAAUGUCUAAGCAAGUAGGCAUUUGCCAUGUUUAUUAAGGCACAUGCAUCCAUGAUCUCCCGUGAUUCUGUUAGCGCGUGACUUCUGCUCAACUUCUUGGUGUCCUAGGUUAGAGAGAGAGAAAGAGAUACCUUGUCUGAUGCAACUUCAAGCGUGAGUCUCUGUGGGGAUGAGGGUGGGGGUGUGUGGGGAUGUGGGGUGGGGGGAGGGGUUUGUGGAGGUAAUGAAAUUCACAAGGAAGGAGAGAGAUUUUGGCUUGUUCCGCAAAUUGGUUUUACACCCCACGAAAAGGAAGAGAACAACAAACAACGGUAUCCACAAGGUUGCUGUAAAAUAUAUAGAAAUUUUAUCAGGUCUAUUGUCUUGGAAAAAGCUUCGCAGUAGCAAAGAAAGAACGUCAACAAGCAUCCUUGACCAGGAAUCAGGGUAUGGUUAACAGAAAAUGAGUACUACCACAAGAAAUUCAACGAGUCCCCUUAAUCAAUGAACUUAGUAAAGUUGGCCACUUCAUGGAAUUAUUUAAGAUAAGGUUUACUUUGAAGACUCACUUAGGAAUCUUUGAAUUUCAAACCCUAACUUUAUCCCGCAAAAAUAAAUAAGCGAAAUUUUUUUUCAUUGUCUUAAUGGUCAGCAAUAAGAAAAUUCAAACGAUAGCAUCAGUGACAACCUGAGCAUCUUUGCUUUUUGUCAGCCAAGUAUAUUCUAAUUUCUAUGACUUCAAGGAGAGGGAUAGAGAAAGUGAGCGUCCGCUAUUAUGGGUUAAAGCGUCACCAAUCUCCAAUGAUCCCACUCCACCCACGAAAAGAUCCAAUGAGCAUCGAACCAACCUUUAUUGGCCCGACCGCAACUUUAAUUUUUGCAAAGGGCCGUGGCGUCUCUUCAAUUUUUCGGGAUGUCUCUCAUUGGCAAUUUGUGGGGUUUGGGAGACAAAAAUUUCUUACCUUUGACGGCCGGACCUUUAACGAGGUGACAUCUCAUGCGAAUGAGUGGGAUGAGAGAUGCGAUCUCAUGAUCUCUCGAAUCAGUGGCAUCGUAUGUUGGCUCCCGAGAGGACAAGCACUACCCUAAUUAAAUGUAGAGAUUAAGCCUCUACGAGAGAGCCGGCAACUUAUGUCUUGCCAUUAACAAAAACCCCAAAGUGGACCCAUUAAACGGGUUUGUCAGGUUAGAAAUGAUCCAACCAAUUUGACCCAUAUGAUAUGCUUUCGACAAAUUUUCAUGCAAUACAAAUUUAUUGCCACAAUCCUCACUCAAACCAUACCCAACCAAUAUUACUGAAAUAACUCUGUAUUGAUUCUAAUGUAGGAAAACUCCCCAAUCAAGAUAAGAGCGCAAAAAGUAGGAGCAUGAAAUUGAAUAAAAUCGAGAGUCAAAGAAGUCGUAAAAGUAAAUUAAGUCAACAUAAGCUGUAUGCCCAUUUAACGCCCCCAUUAUCUAAGCCUUACAACUCUAAACCUAUAUACGACCUAUUUACUGAACAUAACUGACCCAAAUAACAUAGCUUCAGAAUUAAGUCCAUGACCUAUCAUGACAAGUCCACCCAUAAGCAAGUGAAUAAUGUGGUACAGAGAAUGUAUGAUCACACCAUUAUACCAACAGCAAGUUACAAGAGACGGAGCAAUAACCAGCCUCUUGCAUCGCUCUUGACUGACUCAAAAGAUGCAUCGACCCGGUAAGUCUCACUUCACAACGGAGAAAACCAACGAGCUUCCUACCAAGGCGACAAUUCACAGAUUCACAAACGGCCAUUAUGAUACCUACUAAUGAAUAUGAUGGUAAGUAAUUGUUGUUCUGUAGCUAACAGAUCCUUUUUCAAAUCAGCAGUCCGAUGAUCAAACCAAGAACUGCAAAUAUCUUCAUUGGAGUACGGAAACUUCGUCAAAUAAAUUUAAUAUCCCAUUGCACAUUACAACAGAAUGAACAAGAAAAACUAUGGCUGAAGCAUCCAUGGCAAUGAAAAAGAGAAGUCGUCUACUAUUCUUUUCCAAAAUCAGCAUUAUAGUGUGCACUAGACUCUAGUUUCUUUGCUUCACUCAGUUUCCGAACAGCCUGCAAAAUAAAUUAAGAUAUUGAGAUGGCAUCCUCAAUCAGGGCAAACAACAAAAAUUAUUCUAAUUGUGAUGAUAACGUAACCAGUUCUUGCUCAGACGAAAAGACGAAUACUGAAAUAUAAAAUUAUACAAGAGGAAGGCCUCUUACCUUCAUGAAAUCUUCAUGAAUGACAUAAUCACGUUCUGCACGUAUGGCAGACAUUCCAGCCUCAGUGCAAACAUUACGCAGAUCAGCACCAUUGAAGCCCUAAAGCAAUAAAAAAAUAAAUCAGAACAAAUUUGCCAGGGAUAAAAGUAACAACCACAAAUCAGUUCAAAACUCACCUCUGCAAGCUUCACAACAGCCUCAUAGUCGAUUUCUCCAUGCUUGGCAAUGCCAGCAGCGUGAAUCUUAAGGAUCUCCAUUCUUGACUGCUCAUUUGGCAGUGGGAUCUCUAUUUUUCUGUCCAAACGACCUGGUCGCAGAAGUGCAGGGUCAAGCACAUCUGGUCUGUUUGUCGCCAUUAUCAUUUUUACCUGGAAAUGCCAGAUUUCCAACCAGUUGUGACCAUCUCAUAUGCAGGUCCACAGAGACAAAAUGAAGGAGAAACUAGAACAACUGAAACCCACGAGGACCUAUUAAAGCUAUUUUAGCUACCUAAAGAGGUCUCCAUCCCAUACUACAUAGCACAGGACUGGAGAAGAGAAACGUACUCAAAAUAUUUCCCAAGUCCCUAACAAUUCAAUUGACAUUCCAAUCAACAACUUGAGGCAACAACAAUUUAUGACGAUCUUGUCAAAGAUAGCAUGCUAUUGAAGUGGUAGAAGUCUGUGACAUGGAGAAUGAAAGCAUGGGAGCACUCUUCUACUUAAGCACUAUAAGAAUCGUGAUUAAGAUGUUUUUUAGCACAAAGGAAGACUUUCCCAAUCUACAACAUAUACAUAGCACGUGGCAAAUUUCCUCCCCACCUUUCUCUGCACAGUCUCCCCCCAGCCAUAUUAAAAAAAGAUGACAUGAUAAUCAUACUUAAUACCAGCCAUUAAUAUGAGCAUUUCAACCGCAAAAGGUAGUGCUUAUUCUGCACAACAGCAUAAAAGAUGAACUGGCUGCCCGGAAAAGGUACCUUUCCCAAUUGAUCAAAUCCAUCAAGUUGAUUCAGCAACUCCAUUAAAGUUCUUUGAAUUUCUCGAUCAGCGCUAGUUCCCUCGCUGAAACGCCGUCCACCAAUGGCAUCAAUUUCAUCCAUAAAGAUGAUACAGGGCUUCACGAACAACAGAAAAAUCUCGUAAUUGGUUUCUUGGGAGAAUUAUGUAAGUAGAUAGCAAGUUGGGUUUCUUACUUGAUGAUCACGUGCAUAUCCAAACAUCUCCCUUAUCAACCUUGCACUCUCUCCAAUAUAUUUAUCAAUAAUGGCACUUGAGACGACCUACACUUGAGCAAGAGUGAAUAUUAAACAGAAAAAAUUAACAUAAAAAAAUAUUCUAACUGAGGAAGCAGCGUUGCAGCAUAUCAAGAUAUAUUAUCUUACCUUCAAAAAGUUUGCAUCUAUAUUACUUGCAAUUGCUCUGGCCAACAAUGUCUUCCCAGUCCCGGGAGGGCCAUAUAAAAGAACACCCUACACAGAGAGAGAGAGAGAGAGAGAGAGAGAGAGAGAGAGAGAGAGAGAGUCAGAAUUUGUCCAUCUGAAUGCUGCUGAGUAUACCUCUUCCACGCACAGACAGGACAACCUAUUAUCCUUUUAAAGAGUGCGUACUACUCACCUUGGGAGGUUUAAUGCCAACUCUAAGGAACAGUUCGGGAUUCAUCAGAGGCAGCUCAAUAGAUUCUCUCAGUUCCCUAAUUUGAUCAGAUAAACCACCCACAGCAGAGUAGCUGACAUUUCCAGGGUCUUCAUGGAGCAUGUUAUAAACAACUGGAUCAACCUGUUAAUUCAUAAAGUGCCAUUGUAAAACAGUAGGAUCACAUGAGAAAAUCAUUGACUCUCUAAAAACUUACAGACUAUCAAUCAUAUCCUUGGGGAAAACCCAAAUACCUCACGAGGAAGUGCUCGCAUUAUUGUCAAUGUUGUCAUAUCAAGGACGACUCUAGUUCCUGCAGUCAACUUCUCCUUAUCCACUUUGCUCCGGCAGCCAACCACAUAUCUGGGGCCACUGCUUGCUUUGACAAUCACUGCUCAUAUAUCAACCAGAGUUUCAGAUACUUCUUUAGUGAUAAAAAGUUCGAUUUUGAUCCUAAAAGUACAAAUACCAGCUAAAGAGUUAAUUAUUUAUCAAUCCUUAACCAAAUAAUCAACUGAAUAAAGACAUUGAUGAGGGAAAUCCAUUUCCACGUCAAAGUUUCAACAUAUAACUCCAUGAUAAAUGCUUGCUAAGUGAGAAGCUCAAGCAAUUUACUUUCAGAAUGGAAAAAGCAGAGACAAACAUAGCUAAUUAGAUUGUAUCCUAAGCAGCAGUACGGGUAACAAGUAAAGAAGGGAAGUUACAGCGUUCAUUGUCGAGAGGCCUGAGAACUUCUCCGAUGAUCUGCCCAACACUUUGAAGAGACUUCAAAUCAUCCUCUGUCUUGUUGAACUCCUUUUUGGCACCUCGCAAAUUCUCUCUCACUGCAUAUUUUACACAAUGCCAGUUAAACAUCACAAUCAAAGCAAGAUAAAUUAGCACACUGGCAUUGCUCUAAGCUUGCAAGAAGCAACUAAACCAGUGCUAUAAGAAAGCAUGCAUUCUUCACAGAAAAAGAAUCCCUGAUUUCCAGAUGACAAAUUCAACCGAAGAAAAAGUUGUUACUCUGACAACUCAUGCACUUAACAGACUAUAUGUAAAGUAGUCAAUCAAAUCUCUCCUCCAAUACAGGAUACAAGCGAAAUUCAAUUUCACCUCACAGGACACAUCAAAACUUAAGCUUUUAUCAGCCAAUCUCAGCAAACGAGCGAAAAUGCCGCCAUAAAUUAACCGCCCUCCCCUGAGAAACCCUAAAACACAGUCAACUCGAGCGAAGAACCAAAACCUCCCGCUCGUCCGACGCGAAAGUUCAAAAUCGCGUCGAUCAGAUUUAUCCACCGAGCAGAAAUUGGGGGAAAAGGUCCAAUCGGGGCGAGCCGCGAUAAUGGAUCUACCGUAAGAAGCCUAGCGCGACGUCAACACGAGGAGUACGCGGACGAAGAUAUCGGACCUCCCUAGCGGUUGCUUCAGAAAGAGAAACGCGCAGAUCCGCGCGAUCGAAAAGGACGAGCUAGGGUUCCGGCGGGGGUAGCUGACCUGAUCGGACUCUGGACUCGAGCUCCUUGUGCUGGAGGAGCUUCUUACGGUAGUCAGCGACGGCGCUGCGGCGUCGCGCGGCGUCAUCUCCGUCGUUCAUCGUCGAGCUCGGCGGAGGAAAAUUUUUGUGCUUGCGGGAGAAGUAGCUCGCGGAUUCGCUCGCUCUGUUAGCGAGUCUCUCCGGGUUUGAGCCUAAUACCUCCCGACGCCGCGAGGAAUAACCUUUCUUUUUCCCAAAGAAACCUAUUUGAAUUUAAUAUUUGAGCUUUAGGCUUCGUUUACUUUACGAAAAAUAAAUAUUUCUUGCCCAGAAAAAUAAUUUUUACUAAAUCCUGCUGCUUACCCAUACGAAGUUUUCAAAAUUCGCAAAAUAUCAGCAUAUACAUUUACAUAUGAUUAUUUCCGAACAUUUUAAAUCCUAUAUUUUUCCUCUAUUUUUUUUUAAUUUAGGGAAAAAAACGAAUCUUUUAAAAGCAAAUCCAAACAAGUUCCCAAGUUUAUUAAGUUUCUUAGGAAAACCACAAAUUAGGAGUACGCCGGUGUGUGUGUUUGUACAUAGCUUGGUAGCCGGAUAACCGGUUAUGUAUUUUUUCGAGUGAGAGAUUAUACAGGUACUAUGCUAAAUAAAGUUUAUAAGCUUUUUUCUUGUGAUGUGCUCCGUCGUUGACAAAACUAAUAGACACGGUACAUGUGUACGUUAGUGUGCGACAUUCGUUGUUCGGGCUUCGUAUCCCAUAUCAGCAGUGUAUAUUUGUACAUGUGAGGUUAUAUACAACUUGUACAAAGUUAAAGUCGAUUUGCCACGUUGAUGAUUGACACUCGAUGGUCGAUCUACAUGUAGAGGCCGUCAAUUUUGUCUUGUGUGUCAAAAUUUCUGCCUUUCUUGUGUACAAUUGCAAAGUCGUGCUAAAAUUUUGCCACGAGCAAAACAUUGUGCGGUCAGGGAAGUGAAUUAGUUUAAGUCCAAGAAAAAUGACCCGAAACACUACCCGACCGCUAAAACCAGAAAACGAAACGUUCUGCUUUUGUUUAAUAUCUGGUCAUUACCAUGGCAGCAACAACGUAGCGCUGGCGGGGAUAUAUGAAUGCAACAUUACAAUUCUUGCGUCCAUUCCCGUUUCAGUGCGAGGGGAAAAGGUCGCUGGUGCUCUUCGAUUUGACGGUGCAGCUUAAGAAUAGAACAUGCUCUGUUCGAGUAUCUAAAACACAGGGAAUGCGCAUGGCUCCACGACUGGUCAAAAGCGCAAUAAACCUACUCGUGAAGUUAGGGUGACUCAGAAGUUGGCCAUCCCAGUCCCGAUCGAGAAACAGCAUUCAGAUCUUUCCUAUUGUAACAUAACGUUAGAUGUCAUCUGGUAUGCUGCUGUAACACCAUCAACCGAGGAAAGAAUCGACACCGGACCGUUCCCAUAACUUGCUUUUUAUGUACAGUCUCAUGACACAGAGGAGCUUCUCGGAGCAUGCCAUUUCAGUGUAAUUUUGACCUUGAGGAGGUCGCCAUUGCUGAUGCUGUCUGCCAAGGAUUUACCAUGAACACCAGGCAUAAGUAAUCAUGAUCAUUUGGUUUAUCGCAAUACAAAGAUUAUCACGAUUGCUUCUGUCUUCUUGCAUUCUGCAACACUUCUUCCAGAACCAAAGCGAUUCUCUGUGCCAUGUGGUGUUCCAGGAACUGCUCUUUCAUCCUCUCGUAUCCCUUCUUUCCCAUUGUUAGCCUAGUCUCUUUUUGGGUCGCCAAUUUGAUGAUAUUUUCUGCCAGAGGCAUCACGCCUUCUUUCCCAGCAGGAUGCAACCAUCCUGUUGACCCAUGUACCACAAUUUCCGUGGUUCCUCCAGCAGCCGUCCCCUGGAUUAAAACGAGUUAAAACAAACGUUCUUCUGUUGGAGAUUAGAAGGAAGCAAGCAAACAUUUCAAAGACAAUGAGCGCAUGGUGAAAAGCGAAUCAGCAGCACGAAAACCUCACAAAGGGCAUUAAAUGAUCCCACCACUGCCAUCACAAUUAGGAGAGAAGGAACUCCGUGCAGUAAUCUUUAGACAUCCUAGUAUUAAUGAUGGAUAAGGAACACAAUUGAUAAGAAAGAUGAUUUCCACAAACAUCAUCAUUGAGAAGCCAAAAAAAGGUGAGGAAUUCUACCCGUUUCUCCAAAAUGGAAAAAAUGGAAUGUACAAUGAGACCAAGAACAGAUAGAUGACAUAAAAAGUAUGAAAAUGUGUAGUCAACUGUCAGCCUGUUUGGUUGUGCUUAAAGCCCUUUCAAGCAGUCGCAUUUGAAUGUACCACCAAGGCAAUAAUGAUCUUUUAAUAUGAAAAAACAAAGGACCAUUUUUGGGUGACUUUAAUUGCUUCUAUAUUUUAAAAGAUUUCGGGUAUUUCUUGUGAAAACAUGUCAACUAUUUAAGGUUAACAUCAAAAGUAAAAGGACAAGGCAAAAAGUCAACCAAACAGUUUCUUAACAUUCACUAUAGUUGUCAUGAAAGACAGUCAAUAUGCAGUGCCAAAGGUAAACGCCAUCCCAAGAGACAAACCCUCAAAGGAUGCAACAAAUACCCCAAUAAUAGAAGCAUCCCAAGAGACCACAAAUUGCUGUUGAUGAAGAAGAAAUAUGGAAUGCAUAAAACAGUGAACGAGAAAAAGCAAUAACUAAAUAAGUUUUACCAGUACAGGGAGUUGGAAUGCCAUUGCUUCAAUAGUUAUUCUCCCAAAGCAUUCUCCCCGCGCCUACACAUGACAGGGUACAAGGUUCAAGUGAGUCAGAUCUACCGAUUGGUCUGACACUAGAUGAGCGGCCUCACUGUGGUUCUCUCAGCAUUUAGAAUCAAGUAAAACUAAAGGUUAAACAAACCUAACAUUCUAUGGUUAGAGCCCACGGUGCAUCAUAGAAUAAAAUUGGUGAACUCACUCUUCCAACUGAUCCUCAACUCAGCAUGCAGGAGUCAUACUCCUACAUUCAUAUUGGAAAUACAAUUCCUUCCCUUUUUUAUCAAAUCUUUAUACCACUAUACACAAGCCUAGCCCCACCAUGAAUUAUUAGGAAUCAUUUUAAUUUCACAGGUCUUGAGGUACAUAGAAGACACGAGGUUGAUGUGAUGGGGAUACUCCAACUAAAGAACAUGAACGCAUCUACUCAGGCAAAUGAGGUAAAAUAUGAACACCAAUAUACCUGAGAGUUUUGGACGAGAACAUCAAUUGAAGCCAGAUAAAAUAUGAACGCAUCUAUGGUUAGAGCCCACGGUGCAUCAUAGAAUAAAAUUGGUGAACUCACUCUUCCAACUGAUCCUCAACUCAGCAUGCAGGAGUCAUACUCCUACAUUCAUAUUGGAAAUACAAUUCCUUCCCUUUUUUAUCAAAUCUUUAUACCACUAUACACAAGCCUAGCCCCACCAUGAAUUAUUAGGAAUCAUUUUAAUUGCACAGGUCUUGAGGUACAUAGAAGACACGAGGUUGAUGUGAUGGGGAUACUCCAACUAAAGAACAUGAACGCAUCUACUCAGGCAAAUGAGGUAAAAUAUGAACACCAAUAUACCUGAGAGUUUUGGACGAGAACAUCAAUUGAAGCCAGAUAAGGAGCAACUUGCAAGGUCUUAUUGACAAAGUGUACACGAUCCUGAAUUUUCUUUUCUGCUACAAAGUUGCGAAGUUCUGUCUCAAACUUUGUUUGAGCAUUCAUAUCACUUCCAACUAUCACCGCAUGCAUAGAUGGGACCUGCAAUUUCUUCUCUUGUAUCAAUCGCAGACUUUCAUAGAAGGCCCUUAGAAAUAGAUCCUGCCCUUUCCCACGGGAAACACCUGCAAUUAGAUCAGAAAACAGACAAGCAAUGUUCAAGAGCAUAAGUUAUACCAGUGGAGUACGAUCUAUUAAACCAACAAAUGGUACGCAGAAUGAAUUAAUAGAAGUUAAGUCGAUUUUGACAUAGCAUUUAGAAAAAAAACUCAAACAGAGAUCUCAUUCAUGAAGAAGUGAGCUCCAAAUGGAGGAACUCUAUGUUGCAUCCUGCCUUUGGAAAGAACCACUUCAUUUUUUUCAGUGCUUCAGAUACCUAGAAUGAACCAAGUGGCAGUUCCACAGAAGUAAAGGAUGUGAAAAGUGCAAAGGGGGGAUGCAGGAGCAAAGAAGCACUCAAAAAAUUCAUAAACGCAGAGCAGUGCUACAAAACUCAUGAGGCUUACUUCAGCAAUGAACCAAAAUUUGUUCAUGUUUCUCAUUAUCCUCAUCAUAGGUCUAAUCCAACCUUACACAUUAAUAUGUCAAAUAAAAGGACCCAAACCUUCCAAUGGAAAGGACUCAGUUAACAGAGGCCUCAUUUUAGAAUUGCACAAGUAGACAUAAUCAGUCGACAAAAUUAGAAAUUUACUGUAGAAAACAUACUAUUGAUGACGGCAAAGAGUAGAUCUUCAUUCCGCACUCCAAAGGACUCACGGACAUGCUGACGAAGAACCCUCUUGGCCACAUUAUCUUCUGCUACUUCCAUUAAUUCAUUGCUAUUUCCAAGGUGCACGACGUAAGUCUUAGGCAUCUUGAUCCUGCCAAUAUAAUUAUUAGAAAGAGAAUGGGACAAAUACAAUUGCAGAGUUCCACAUACUAGCAGUGAAUGUCAGUGAAUACAGCACUAGAAAGCUGCAAAGCAUCCAUAUAAAAACUAUCCAAAUGCAAAGAUAAGAAGCAGAUGAGUUUGCCGAGAAUGCAAGGGGAAAAAAAGAAACAAGAAUAGUUGAACGUGCGAAAUCCUCCAGCACUAGUCAGUUCUUCACUGUGCAAUUGGUGAAAAAGGCAUCAACAGACUUAGAAAACCGUGGUGAAACAUGACAUAUUUAAUAUGCAAGAAGAAUACCCCAGACGUUCUUGAGUUCUGGUCUUCCAGUAUUCAGCUGUUGUGUGAGAAUCAAUCAUUGCCCCUGCCACAUAAGGUAGGUGCUUGACAUACUCCAGUUUGAAAUAAUGCCCUCUCAUUUCGUGAAUCCACCACAAAAUUUUUGGGAGAACACUAGGAACAUUGUCUUUGAGAACAGCAUCGAGCCACUUUCCAGCAACAGCAGUAUUUAACACCACCAAAUCAGCCUGAAGGGCUAUAUCAAUGGCUUUCUGUCCUUUUGCAGAGAGAACCUAUUUGUAUGAACAGAACGUACUCAGACAAAAGCAAUAUGAUGUAAUUUAUUCAUUUCAUAUGUAUUAUAAAACUAAUCAAAAUACACUUCAAUAGCCUUCUGGUGUGACUCUAUAUCAGCUAGGCUUGUAGGAUGUCAGUGAUGAUGUCACGCCUUGUUGCAAUUUCACUGAGGAAACACCAUACUACUCAUUCUUGAGGAGGUUUCUGUCUCCCUGGCCCAUGCAAGAAGGAUCAUCUACACUUUUCCAACAAAACCCGUGCCCCUCAGAGUGAAGUUAGCAGUUAGCACAAUAGAAAAGCACCCAGGCCUAUUUUCCCAGUGAAAUUUCUUUCUCGUGUUUAACUAAGAGGCUUCUUAGCAGGAGUUACUUAAGAAGGUUUUGUUAAGUCUUCAAGCUCACCAAUCUGAUUUAAAUUAAUGAGGGUGAACGUGGCCUGUCAAGCAUCGCUUGUACAGGCCCCAUCAAGGGUUUUACAGCCACUUCAUGGAUUCAUUUGUAAUCCAUUGACAAUUUUGUCUUCAAUGACGAACAUUCAAAGAAUUUGCUAGUAUUGCAACCCACGGGAAAUGCUAAUUUGUGCUGCAACCGACCAGACACUCGCUGCUUUGACUCAAUUGACACUACAGAUAGACCAUAGAUACUUGUAGAAUUCCAAAUUAACCAGAGAAUUGCAUAUCAUUGUGCAAAACAUUUCUCAAAAUGCUACCAAUUCCUCAUCAAAUUGAAGCUAGUGACCUUUACAAUUUCCUAUACCCCAAGUAUAUCAAAUAUUCUUCUGAUGCUUUUACACAAUCCUAGUCCAAUGAGCAAUGAAUAAUAUUUACUGACGAAAGAACAAACUACCAAGCAAUAACAUGAGCUAAAAAUUUACCUGCACUCCAUGGUCUAACAUCUUAUGCUCCAAGCUAUAAAUGACAUCAUCUGGCUCUGCUGGUUUCUGGUUAGUAAUCCAGACAACCUCCGAGCCCACACCUCUCAACAGAAAUGCCAGUUCCAUGAGCAAUAACGGCCCACCUUACAUCACAGAACCGAAAAAAUUUCAAUUGAUUUAAUGCAACCCUCAUCAGGAAAAGUGAAAAACUACAUCUACAGCCUGCUUGGAAUGCCUGCCUCAGGGGAAUACAAUUCAUUUGCAACUAACUCUGGUUGGAUUUAAGUUAGAAAAAAAUCUAAAGCCACUACUGAGUUUGCUUAUACUGCAUUUUACACUGCAAUGAUGCCAAAAGUGGCAUGAUUUGCCCAGAAAUCAAUUCAUGUGGAGCGGAAUCUCAAUAAUUUGCCACGCCGCAUCCCCAAACAAAAUCACUCACUCCAAUACACUUCACAUUCCGCCAGCAACCCGAAACAGCUUAGAAACUCCCGCAAACCGAAAUCAAAUCGAUCCGAACUACACUCGGGGAAGAUUCAGAGUCAGCCAGUAACUACCGGAAAGGGAGAGCUCGUGGGAGACGAGGAGGACGAGCUUCGACUUCAUGAACUCAAGCGGACUGGGCGAGACCCCAGAAGGCGGGCCGCGGGCCUUCUCGCCGGCGAACCGCGCGCCGCCGGAGCCGGAGGAGACGGCGGAGGCGGCGGCGCUAGGGUUGCAGGAAUCGGUCGCGAACCUGGUGAUCAAGACGAGGGCGGUGGAGAGGGAGAAGAGGAGGAGGAGGAUCAGCAGGGGCCAUCGCCGCUUCUGCAUUGCGAUCCACGCGCCCGAUGGCUUCGCCAUUGAUGUUGCUACCGUCGAGUGGAGCUCGCGCGCAUCAAGCGUAGUUCAGGAGGUUUCUACCAGGCAAUCUGCAACUUCCUCCAUCAUCUUUGGCAAGGAGAAAGAACCAGGUUUAAACAUAUUCUGCAACUACUACGUCUUUGUUUCAGAUCUAGCACCAGACUGUAUUUUCUGUUUAGGAAUAAGGAAUUAUUUUAUUUUAUUUUCAUUAAAGUUUAUGAAUCGUAAAACUUACAAAAGAAAAACAUUAAAGUGCCUAAUGCACUUGUUAAAUCUCAUUAAUUGUGCUUUAAUAAUAUAAAAAUUUCAUUUGAAGUAGGUGACUUUACGCAUUGUAUUGUAAUCCCUUCAUUUUCGAAACUGUGUUUUAUUAAUUUUCAAUGAUCUUAACAUGCUCCCUAACAAGAUUCCUCUUAAAAUGACAUUAUUAUUUCAAGCUUGCAAAUUUGAUUUAAUCACAAUUCAAUAACAUCUGCUUUAUGCUUUAUCUAUUAUCUGAAUGUUUCAUUUCUUUACUACGGUCAGUUUAUAAAAUUAAAGUAUAAUUUAGACUUUUGAAUUAAUAAAAAAGCUUAAAAAAUUGAUUGAUAGAUAAUAUUUUAGCAUAAUCUUAUCACAUGGUUAUAAAUGUGUAUGAAAUAAUUCCUCAUGAUAUAAGUCAUAUUGUUUAAUAAAGUACAGAUUUUAUAAAACACUUCUAUAAUUUUGCAAAGUGCAUUGGGACUGACUUUCAAUUGAUAUAGUAGAAAAACUUUCAAAAUUCCAAUUGUUUAGAAUUUCUCGUAAUUUCUAAAUUUAAAGUGUUCUCAUUUCUUUUUCAAAAUUUAGAAGAAAGCUCAUGUCUUUUUUUUUAAAUAUAUUAAAAGAUAAUAUAAAUGGAUAAUGAUAUUAAUGAUUUAUGAAAUUUUAAUAUAUUAGAAUAUGUAAUGAGGUUAAUGAAAUUUUAAUUUUUUUUUAAAUUUCCAAAUUUUAGCAUAACAUAUGAUCUUUAAAUUUUUUUGUAUAUAUUUAAUUUAAUCGUCGGUUAGACAGGAAGGAUACUAUUAUUAGACCCUAAAAAUAAUCACGGUCGGGAAAAAGAAAAACAAUAAAUAAUCAUCAAAUCUAAGUUACGCCGCCGAGAACAAGACUAGACUCCUCCCUUCCCACUCCUCAUCGACGGCGCUUCCCCGGAGAGCGACGGAGAUGCGGUUGCGGCAGCUCCAGCUUCAGCUUCCGUCCUCUGCAACCUCCUCUCUCCGCGCCGCUCCUUCCCGUCCAUGGCGCCCGACACCGUUUCGCUUCGUCCCCACCCUGACUCCGCCUCCCUCCCUCUCCCGCUCGCUCUCGCCGCGCCCUCGCUCUUUCUGCUCCAGCUCGGCCUCGCGGCCGCUCCCCGAGCCGCCCUCCGUCGCGGCGCCUGAAGAAUCCUCGAAGCGCGUAAUCAUUCUCGCCUCCGACUUUUCUGUUAAUCAUCCGCGCGCUCGUCGAUUUGGAGAACUCUUUCGUUUGGAUAUUUCCGUUGUCGUGAAGCAAAGCGUAACGGAGAUAGCUCGUCAUCGGUGGUACGGUGGUAGCUUAGUUAACGCUUUGAGAAAUCAUCUUGUUUUUGUUACUGCCGGCGGGCGAUUUUCCAAGCUCUCGAAGAGACUGUGCGCUCUGCUGUUGUGAUGGAUAGCAUGUUGCUCUAUGAAGAUAUGUUCUUAGAUAGGUCUCGCGGUGUAAUGAUGCAGUCAGUAGUGUGUCGAGCUCGCUCGAAAUGCUCAGUGUGCUUUUAAGUUUCUGUAGAAGGAAAUGAGCUCUUGAUGAUGCAUUCUUGCUUCGAAUUCUCUCGCGCUUGCUUCGAUAACUGUUUCUCUGAUGCUGUCUCACGACGCUGCCUUAAUUUGAUUGUGCAGGCUCCUCUGAAACCUGGCCUCUAUCUUGUAGGAACGCCGAUUGGCAAUCUCGAGGAUAUCACUCUACGGUACUUAAUUUUCAGAUAAUUGCUGUGACUAAAGCCUUUCCUCUUCCCUUGUGCAUGUCUUGCAUGUCUUACAUACGUCUUAGGGUUCUUAUGUAUAUAUUUUGGCGCUCUCUGUUGAUUUUGUAUGUCUUAGAAUUUGUGAUCACGCGGCUACUUACAUCCAGUAUCACUGUCUUAAAAUGCCAUUUCCCCUCCUUUUGCUGCACAUUGGCCAACCUAGUGCAUCCGAUAUUUAGUUUGAUGUCCUAGCAAACUAUUCGUACAUAGCAUGCGCAUGAUGGAUGAUUCUGAUGCUUGGUAAUCUUGGAAUCAUAAAUGCAGUGCUCUUCGCGUGUUGAGGUCAGCUGAUGUAAUACUUUCAGAAGAUACAAGGCACUCGGGGAAGUUGCUUCAUCAUUAUGAUAUUAAAACCCCUCUCGUAAGUUCCCAUAGAAAUACCGUACUCUCUUUUUUUUUUUUUGCCUAUACAUUAUUAUGUGAUUCUAAUUGCAUGCUUUAGAUUUCAGCUAAGUUACCAUAAAUUCAAUGAGCAUCAAAGGGAGCACACAGUGCUAAAAAGGUUGAAGCAGGGUGAAAUAGUGGCGUUGAUCAGUGAUGCUGGAACACCAGGCAUCAGUGAUCCAGGCACGGAAUUAGUAAGUUGAUGCACUUUUCUUCAAGAUUCUACAUCUGUUUAGAACUUUUCGAUGGUAAGGAGUUGGAACAGAAAUGUUUUUAUUUAAAACUUUUUAUUCACUGUACAACAUUGGGUCCCAUAUGCACAGAUGUUACUUGCAAGUUACUAAUCUUCAAUGAGAUAAUGACAGUCUUAUGGGGAUGGGGAAGCACUUCAAUAACUAGCUGACUCUAAUCCGAGAUACACUGCUUCAAAGAUAUCUAACUAAUAUCGAAAUUAAAGUGCCAGUGGUGUUAUUGCUAUAUAGUGUCAAAUCUCUCUCUUUCAUUGAACUAGUCCCUCACACUUGCAAGUCUUCCCAGGCAAAAUCAUGUGUGGAAGAAAAUAUUCCCGUUAUUCCUAUCCCUGGGCCUUCUGCUUUGGUAGCUGCUCUCUCUGCCUCGGGAUUGUCAACAGAAGAGUUUACAUUUGGUAAGUUCAAAAGAGACAGGGCCAUUCAAGUCUAAGUCAAUGAGUACCCCUUUAGUUAUUAAUUGGUCUUAGAAGCUAACAUUUCACCGUUCUUCUUAAGUUGGAUUUCUGCCAAAACACUCUGGAGCAAGGAGAGAGAGGCUAUUGAUUUCUGCAAAUGAAGCAAAGACUCAGAUAUUCUAUGUUCCUCCUCAUAAGCUUCAUCAAUUUCUUGAGGAAGCCUCAACCAUAUUCAUUGAGUCGAGGUACAGAAGACAGAGUAUGUGUGUAAAAUUUGUCUGUUUAAAUUUACAUCUUGAUUUCUAAGUAUAAUCUAUCAAUUUCCAUGUAAUUUGAAGGCAGUGAAAAAUACUCUAUGAAGUCUUGCAUCCUUCUAAAUGCAUGUCCAAGCUCCAACUGACAGACUCUUCUCAAUAACUUAAUCUUUUCAUAUGCAUCUGAUAUGUGCUUCAUUUCUGCAAGAGAUAAUGUACCUUGAUGUCUUGCAGAAGAUGCGUUGUGGCUCGGGAAAUUACUAAGAUUCAUGAAGAGGUAGGAUAUUCUACAGAAGUUAUUUCAUUGCUAAGUUUGCUAGCUGUCUCCCAGUUCAUGCUGAAUUUUUUCAGAUGUUGUUGGUAUGUCUGCUUGUUGCUGUUCGAAUAUAAAUGAGAACAUGCUGUUAGUCGAUUACACAUGGGUCUCCCUAUAUUCCAGUUUUAUGUUACAUCCGUGGCCUUCUCUCUCUCUCUCUCUCUCUCUCUCUCUCUCUCCACUAAAUGUGCAUAUAGGCCCUUAUAGAAGUUUGGCCCACUUACUACUUGAGAUUCAAGUAUAAUUGAAUUCACAUGAGAAGACCUAGUCAAAAGCUAUAGUGAUGAUAUCUGUAAACAUAUGGCUCGUAUAUAGGUUUAAUCCCAUAGGGUAUCAUAUCAUACUAUACUGUAAAGGUGGAGGUUAAGAUUGAGUUACAAUUCAACCUCAGAUAAUAUUGUAAGAGCUACUUUUGGUAAUUGAAUCAAGGAGCUUAUAUAAAUCAAGCUUGAGUUACAAAGCGAUGCUUGUGACAUUUGGCAAUUCAAGUAAUUCAACUUAAUCUAUUAGUUCGUCAAUAGUUUCUCUUUCACUCUAGUCAUCUCUGAGUGAGAAAAAUGCACAUUCCUCCAAGUGAUUGUAUUUCAGGUGACUACAGAGUUACUAGGUAGUUUUUUGUCUCAAAUUUAUCUUAUAGAUCCUACCACAACCUUCAUUGACCUUUUUCAUCUGAAGCUUCAGGUGAGCUCUCUUUAUAUUUUCCUCAUAAAAUUAUUAAAAUGUUGUAAUGCCUCAUCAGUUUUGGCGGGGUUCAUUGGGGGAAGCUAAAGAAGCAUUUUUGACACGUCAAGUGAAGGGAGAAAUCACUCUGUUGAUUGAAGGCAAGACAGAGUGUUCUGUUGAGAUGCCAUCAGAGGACCAGCUUGAAAAUGAACUAAGACACUUGAUGUCCAGUGGGCAUAGCCUUUCUGCGGUACUGAUCUCAUUUUGAAUGUACUGGUUGCGCAUUAGUUUCUAAUGUUUCAAACAGUUCAAUGUGGAGCUUACCACAUGCCCGGGCCAAUUAAACCUUGUAUAGAUGAUUAUGGACCUUAUGGCAAGAAUGUAUCACCGUUCCACAAUGCAAAUGCAUGUUAAAAAGAGGAACGAAGUGCAUUAAAACAUGCUGUAAGUUUCCUUACAGGCACAUGCUGAUGGAAAUGCUCUGGUUGUUUACUCUGGCUGUCACUGUCCUUUUUCAAAAACCCGUAUGUUUGCAAGAGCUUAGCCAUUUGGGCCCCAGUUUCUAGCAGUAAAAAUCUAUUUCAAAUCCUUGUAAAAUGAGGCCAGCAUUCUUGAUGUGUGAUGUAGUUUGGUUCUGUUCAGGCUGUCAAAGUGGUUGCUGAAGGAACAUCUACUAGUCGGAAGGUAGUGUAUUCACUUGCAUUGCGGAAACUUGGACAGCAACGCAAGGGUGGAGAUGACUGACUUUACAUUUUGCUGUGGCCUGGGACAUAUUAUGCUGUAGUUUCUGCUAAGGCUCUUUAGCUCAUCUCUGUCAGACUGUAAGUGCAAGUGAAAAGGCAGAAAGGACUUUUCGGCCUGUGGAGUGAUCUCUAGCCAAUUCAUGCGUCAACAUUCUCAGGAGACAAGAACUUUGACUCCAAGGGAGAGUUAUUCGGCAUCCCUUACAUAUAGAAAUUGAGUCCAUGACUGACAUGGCAGUCAAUUUCCUUUUUCCUUGUAGUGUCUCUACUUAAAGGAACUGCUAGUUUUACUGUGUCCGUUGGCAUUCCUGCAAUUGCCAUGGCUCUGUUGGCGAUAAUUAUCUAUGUUGAGCAGUUGACGCGUCUCUCGAAAGGUUGAUCAUUUACAUUAUGAAUGACUUUUGCAUGUAUUGGAAUUUGGACUUAGUAAUUUUGGUUUAUUGGUCUCUUUCUUUCUCUGUCUUGCUAAGUUGAGUCAACCACUUUCCCCAAAAGGUUAGAGAUGGGCCCACAAGGAAAUUUUCUUGAUGAAUGUAAAAUUAAGCUCUAGAUUAUACCUUAAUCUUUUCAUCUUCCUUUUAUUGCGUCAAAAUUGCGCGUAAUUACGCAGCUACAUUGCUUUCAAGAUCCUUCAUGUUUUGCCAUUUAGGGCCUGUUUGUUUGGGUUUUGUUUCUGUUCCCCGAAAUAUAAUUUUUGUUCUUUUGUUCCGGGGAACAAAAGAAGAACAAAAAUGCGUUUGUUUACACUUUUAUUUUUUAGAACAAAUUUGGAACAUAAACAAGAAUAAGAAACAUUUGUUUCUUGUUCCGCGGAACACUUUCGAGAAAUACUUUUUUUUUUCUUCUUUUUCUUCUUUUUUUUUUGUGGCUGGUGGCCUCAGCCAUGGCCGACGACCGGCCGUUGAGGGCUGACGACCUCACUGGAGCGUCGCCGGCCCUUGGCAAGGCCGAGAGCGAGGCCGAGAGCGAGGCUGUUGGCUUUUGUUGGCCGGUCACUGGUCAUGACUGAAGCUAGCAACCGGCCAAAAUGAAGAAAAAAGAAAAAAUAAUAAUAAAUAAAAAUAUUUUUAAAAAAAUUAUAUAAGUUUACCAAACAUGUUUCUAUUCUUUUUUAUUUCAGGAAUAGAAAUUAUACAAGUUUACCAAACGUGUUCUUUUGUUCAAAAAUUGUUCCUUGGAAGAGACGUUACCAAACGUAGCUUUAGAAGCCUAACUUCUAGAGCACCUACAUGAUGUCAUUGCUUUAGAAGCUUAACUUCUAGAGCACCUACAUGAUGUCAUUCCCAUAGCGGAGUUGAUCAGGGAAAUCAUAUUCCUUCAAGAUUAGAUAAUGUAUGAAUGGAUAAUCCGAAUUUAAUAUGAAAGGAUAAAAAAUUGGAGGAUGGAGUCAAUUUCCUGCAAAUAUGCUGGGCAAACAACUCUCGUUCAAGCUCGGAUAGUCUUUUAGCAAGAAACUACUCUUGCCUUUAGUUUAGAGACUAGAGACACUCAGAGAUGCCAGGAUAGUAACAUUUCUAACUAUCCGAGCUGCAUUUCUCAGAGAAUCCUACCAAACUAGAGAAGAAGAGAAGUUUAGAAAGAUGAUCCUAUCAGAUUGGAGAAAAAGAUAAGUUUAGAAAGCCAUGGAGAAUUUUCACAAAACACUCACUUUACUUCGAGGGGCUCUGCCCAACACAAUACAUCCUCCUUGCCUUUUAAAGACAGUGGGAGGUCACACACAAACAGGGACCAAGCUCCAAGCUCACAGGUCCAAAACAUAUAGAAGCUCUAGAAAUUCCCGUUAGGGAAUUAUUCACAUAAUAUAAACAGUGACAGUGAACAAUGAUUUCCCUAGUUUAAACGCUACAAUGACUUAUUACAGUGACCUGUAUGGUCAGUAGUCUCGUCUGUCGCGAGCAUUGUAGUCAGAAUUACUACAGUGACCUGUACGGUCAGUAGUCUUGUCUGUCGCGAGCAUUGUAGUCAUAGUCUGAGUCGUCCGAACUAUGCAUUGCUAGAAGGUGUUCUUCAUAUUUUUGCUCAAGUCCUGCAAGUGAAUCUAGAGAGAGAAUCUAGUUCAAUGUGUUUUUUAUUCAACUAGGGCUAUAAAUUACAAAGAGCCAAUACAUAAUUAUCUCUGGAUUUGAACAUAAGUCACAGAGUAAGGUUUAAUUAUUUUUGAAAGAUCAUAUCGUGAAUUCGAAACAGUGGAUCAAUGGAACAUCCUCAAGAGGGAGGACUUCACCGGCUUCUGGUGUCCUAGCCAGUGCUGCAUGUGGACCCCAAUGGCGUCCAAGUACAGGCUGCUCCGCCCAUGAAAUCCCACCACCUUUCCUUCAGUCGUAGUUGAAGUGAAAAAGGUACCCACUUCUUCUCCAAAUGGACCAUAUUUCCCUCGACUCGUGUGGAAUGUCAACGACCUUAUGAACUGAGGCUGAGGCCACUCAUCUUUGCCGACAGGGCCAUAAUAGCCAGAGAUGCAUGUUAGGACUUCAUUUGGAUAUUCCAGCUUGAUCUGACAAUAGAAAAUUAGCGAUAAGUUCAGUAUCUCGUGGGAAAUAGUAGAUUAGCAGGAAUAAUUUGUCUUCCAAAAGAGAGAUUUUUUUGGAUUACCCGAUGUGUGGUGAGUCCUCCGUUGCCUCCAUGUCUGACUGACCAAACAGAUUGUCCAUUUCUAUCAUACUCUAUCUGUAUGGAGCAGAUAGCUUCGGUUCUGGUCAGAAUUAUCUGUCUGAUCCCGGAAAAUACACCAUCAUCCCAUGGCCGCCCGAAUUCCCCUCCCCAGGGGCCUGGUCCAUAUGGAGCUGGCUCAUGGACAACUCCGUAAGCAACCUGGGACAUCCAACAGACAACAAACUUAAUGAUCCCUUAGGCUAUGAGUGAGUUCCUUUCAGUAUAAUCAAUGUUUCUCCCCUGGGCUAUGAGUGAGCUCCAUUCAGUAUGAUCAAUGAGUGCGUUGCAUGCUAUGUAAGGCGGGCUCGCCCUCAGUGUAGGCAUGUGUCUGGGUGUUGCUACAGCUGAAGUAUCUACAAGUAAGGCCAGCAGCUUCACAAUAACCCAUCUGCCUGCCUAGCUCAGACUCGAACCUUGUAGGUUACCAUGAACACUAUAUUGACGUGUGUGCGCAUAGGAUUGAGCCAAUUAGAUGGAUGCAUUCAUAAUGCAACGAACAGUACCUCUUCUGCUGGCCUUUGCUUUGGAAGGACAAACUUAUUCGACCAUUGAGGAUAGUCCACUUCAGCCAGAUCUGCUUCAGUCUUGUUAUUCUUGAUGGCCACCGGUACUUUCCCUUCUAUCAUAUGGAUGCCAAUAGCAUCUAUAAACAGGCCGCCUCUACCAUGAAAGCCGAUGAUCUUGCCCUCUUUCGACUUUGAAGUAAAAGAAGCUCCCCGCUCUUCUCCAAAAGGUCCAUGCUUUCCUCUGUUAGUGUGGAAGGCGAUUGAUCUGAUGAUGGUAGGUCCCAUGGACAUUAGAGGCCCGCAGGUUCCCGUUAUGUGCGUCAAAACUUCGUCCGGGUAGUCCAAUACUAUCUGUGAAAAAGUACAGAUAACAAAAAAGGAAGGAUGAAAAUGCAAUUAUAUUCUCACUAUUUUCUUGGAUUUAGCUUAAGCACUGAACCAGACAUUGUUGUUUGACCUUAUCGUGUCUGUAUCCUCCAGUUCCACCACGCUUGUUUCCCCAUAGCGCCUCCCCGUUCCAAUCAUAUAGAACCUUCAUAGAAACGAUAGCGACAUUCCGAGAUAGAUUGAUCUGUCUGAUGCCGGUGUAGGUUCCGUCGUCGAAUGCAGACCCUCCAGAACCUCCCCAUUGUCCGACCGUCACUAGCCCUUCAAUUUUCCGGGGCACUUUUUCUACCUUGGGCAUCUGGAACAGACUCGAUGUUUAGUGAUUCGUCAUUCCACCCAAUUUGCCGAAAAGAUGUACGCGCUAGAUAAGUGAAAGAGCUUACCGUCUCUUCGGUUUCUUCAUCGCUGGACUCCUCGGAACUAGAACUUUGUCUCGAGAUUUGGCUCCUGAAACAAUUGCCUUGAACUUCCUUCUGCCUGACGGCAAGCACUAUGUCAUAAUUCUGCCCGAUGCUCCCUUGUACGACUGAGUAGCCUACCUUGUUGGUUCCGAAACCAACAUCAACACCAACACCGCUCUGAGCUUUAACCAGAGUUCCAGAUGCCUUCUCUUUCUGAUACGGCUUCAGAUAAACCCCGAUUGCAUCCAGGUACCAGCCGGCCUUGCCAUGAAACCCGACAAUCUUGCCAGUGGUCGAUGGGAAAGAGAAAGAGCCCCCCUGCUGGACGCCGUAAGGCCCGUAAGUCUUCCGAUUGCUCUCAAAGGUGAGCGAUCGAACAAGAAUGGGUCCCCAGUCAUUGAUUUUCCCAUAGUGUCCAUGAACAGAGAUUAGGAACUCAUCCGGGAAAUCAAGCUUGACCUGCGAACAAUUAGUAAGAUCAUGUGGCUUAGUGAGUUAACUAAAACGUUCUGGUGAAGGAUGAUUUCACAUAGGGAAAAAUGCAGUGAUGCCUCUGCUGUGGAACAGCAUAGUUCCGGUCAGAUUCAGAUGAAUAUAAUUGUGUUAAAAGAGACUUUAGUCCCUCUUUCGAAUAAACUUUGAAUAGUGUGAACUUGCAUAUACACUUUUACUGAGAGCUGGUUGAUUUAUCCAAUUGCAACUGUCAUAGCUUCGAAAAAUCAGCCCUAAAAGUCCUCGUGUCUGAAUGAUCAAGGUUCAAAUCAAGACAGUUAGAGAUUACCAACCGUGUCCACUUUGCAACCUCCGUUUCCACCAUGCUUUUCCGUCCAAAUCGAGUUCCCUUUCAUGUCGUACUCAAUCUGGAUGGAGUCGAUGCCGGCUCCAUGAGCUAUCACCAGCUGCCUCACCGUUGAGUAGACCCCAUCGUCCCAGCGGAACCCAUCUUGACCACCCCAUGGCCCGACUGACACAGUCUUCUUCCCGCUCCCCUCAAUGUUCUAUAGAGUUUAAAAAACAGAAGAAGAAAGAAACACCCAACUUAUGAUCGCCAAUGGUAGAAAUUUGAAUUAUAUGCCUGUGAAUUAUCAAUCUAUACAAAUUCUUACCAUUCUGGUUGUGCUGGGGUGGGAGAGCGGAGGAAGGUGCCGGCGAACUGCAACGAUGGGAGUUCAAUGAUGUUGCAUUGAGUCAUGGUAUUGUUCCGGUUCGAUGAGCUUAAAAAGGUGAUUCAGAUCGUGCCCUUUCAUUAUAAAAUAGUUCCAGAAUCAUGUCGAAGAAGCUUGUUCUCUCUCCACUAAGGAGGGAGAGGAUGGUCGGGAAGAGAACCAGAUUCCAGUUAUGACCAGAAUGAAAAUUCUCCAUUGAAGGUCUUUGGGAGGAGAAAUGCUCGAAUCUUUUCUCUCUUCAUAGUUUUUGCUCAUGGACAGCUCAUUAUUUCGCUUUUAGGUGGGACAUACAUUCCCAUCUCCGAAUGCGAGCACUUUGCUUUGGCGCCUCUUGUUUUUUCGAGCACUGAGGCAUCGUUCGUGGCAGAUCACGACCCAUUGCGCAUCUGCCUAGAUGCAAAGCCAUGACAGAAGGUAAAUCUGUUCACAUCCGGACCACGACAUGCCGAUCAAAUAUUCGCCUCUUUCUUUUGUCUCAGAAUAUGGACCUCACACAGCUUUCUUCCGGAGAGGGUGAUAUUAUGCUCUGAGAUCCCUAUUAAACUUUGCAUAGAUGAUUGUAGACGCACUUCAUUGUGCUCUGUUUGCAUAAGCACAUCAACCUUUAAACGAGGACGAAAGGUUUACCGUCUAUUCCCGCUCAACAGAUGGUGUCCUGACGCGGGUUCGUUUCAAAGUCGAACUUGUCGGUUUAAGUAUUCAUUGUCGAUGCAAGCACCGAGCAGAACUAUCCUCGAGCAUGAAAUGAUCGUAAGGAAUCAAGAACGAAGCAUCGAGGACAUGCUGUCUUUCGCCUUCUGAUUAUGAUAUAUUGUAGAUGGACUUCGUAUUUGGUCUUUGCCGGUUUGAGUUCAGCUUCGUUUAAACACGAUAACUUCCCAGAGAGAGCGACUCAUACUCUAUCUAAUCCGGACCCGAUCCACAACCAACCCAACCCAGGCUCUAAUUCUUAGAUACUUUUCGAAACCAUUAAAGUUUGGCAUUUUUUGUUGGAACACAUCUUUAUCAUUAAAGUUGGACGGUUGAGAAACGUUCUCUUUUUUAUUCAUCUUUUUCUUUUCUAUAUUUCCAUGUUCGGUCUUUUUCUUCGCUGUGACAUCAAGGCUGAGGAAACGAGAGAACGAGCGCAAAUGUCGACAACGAGGGCCACAGAAAGAAAGGACCUCCAUAGCCACGACUAGUUGGGCACAGCGAGUCCUCAUCGUAUCACUUCAGGGCCACAGAAAGAAAGGACCCAUUGACACGAACAUACAACCACCCCCUCGCGAUCCUAGGUCUGCAUUCACACAAGGUCGACCACCUCAAUGGCCGCCGCCGCGGUACCGUGAUUUACAAUUUGUGUGACGACCCGAGUGAGAAUGUAUGGUUCAAUCCUGCUUUAUCCAACCGAGAAUGCCCAUGGGCAACUGGGUCAUAAAUGAGCUAAAAUAGGUACUUCAAAAAUUCCAUUAAGGACCCAGUUUGAUAAACUUUUUAAGUUUUUAAACUCAUUUUCGCCAGACCCUUUAUAUGUUUUUAACCUCUAGUCAUAUGUACAUGAGAGAACCUCUCUCAACCCUAAUUAAUCAUGCGCACCAGCCGGUGGCCAUCGAUUAAGACAGUCCAAGUUACACGCGCGCUCGACGAAAACACACCAGAUUGUCGGAAAACCUGCGAUCGGACUGCCAGGCUUCAGUGGCCAAGUCUUCCGGUGACGCCGGUAACAUCACCGGAACUUACACGAACCUAGUGUUUUUUUCGUCAAUUUGAUCCAGCAACCAACACUUUGAACCCUGCACAAAAGAUACUUUCCGGCCACGCAAUCAAGAAAGCGCCUACUUAAACUUCAGCGCAACGAAACAUGCAGCCAAACUUUAGGCCAGUCCACGAAAUAAAGAUGUCAUAGAUGCCAAUUGACGUAAGUUACAUCAACCAUCAAAUCUGCAAAUAGCUCAGUUCUUCACACACCAGUGUAUCACUUAUCCAAGGAAAGCUCACCAACCAUAUAGACUCCAAAGCAUCCAACAUCGGAGCCGGUUUAUUUUUUUCACGAAGUACUAGAUAUACAGUCAAGCAGCAACUGCAUCAGUCGCGUGCUUGUUUAUCGACGCCUGCAACUGUUCUUUGUCUGCACCCACAACCUUGUCCACAAUUUGGCCGUCUUUCAAGAGUAAAAAAGUUGGCAUUGCCUCGACAGAAUGCUCCGUGGCAACAGACUGCGGACGAAAAAACAGCAGCAAUAAUCCAAGUAUUCAGCCAAAUGAAGCCUAGCCAUACUACUUGCAGUAAACUCUAAAGCCAGAAAAGAUUUUGGCACAUGCUUACCUGCAAUUCAUCCACAUCCACCUUCAGGAACAAAACAUGGGGCAUCUUCUUGGCCAUUUCAGCAAAAAUUGGGGCAAUGAGACGGCAUGGCCCGCACCAUGAAGCGGUGAAAUCCACCACCACCUGGCAAAAAAUCUUGUCUUUCAGCAAACACUGAAAACAGUCACAUAGGAAUUGUGAUACUGCAAGGCGAUGUGUCACGUCAUCCAAUUUGAAGACUCAGGUCUAGUACGCUCAUACCGCAAAAGUCAGAAGUUUUCUAAUGAAUUGCCUCACAAAGGCAACCGGCAAAAACUCUUUCAAGGUCACUGGCAUGAAAAGGCUGAGAGUGACUUAACAAAGGUCAGAAAGAGUUGUUUUCAGAGAACAAGAGCAAGGAGCUAAUUUACUCGAUGCAAUUCUAGAGCUAUGGAUAUAGAUCGAACUAAUACGAGUCUCGCUUCAUAAUAGCCGAUACCCCUUCGGUCGAAAUUGCGGAGAGAACUUCCGCUAAGGGCUUUGUCCAUCUCGGAGAAACAAUUCUUUUAACCAAUUUAAGGCAAAGUGAAAGCCAAUGCAAGCCAAGUUCAGGCGUUCAGAUAGGAACUCCAGUCACUGCAUCCUAGUCUGCAAUGUCCCCUACCCAUUUGCUAAGGCUCUGCACCCCCAAAUGAAUUCUAAUGAAAAUGCAAAACCCCCCAUUUCUAUACACUCUCCUGUCUAAAACCACGGCAAGGGAAGCAGCCAUCAGCAAGCUUUUUCCUCGACAUCACCCACCAGUACCACCCCCAUAACCUAACCGGCACGAAGUGGGUCAAAAAACACAACCAAAACAAGCCAAACCCCACGCAAAACCGAGCCAAUCGCGUAGCAAUCCACGGCAAAAAAAAAAUCACGCAUGCAUAUGAUAACAAAAGGGUAUCGUCGUCCCGGCCAAUCGAGUAGCAAAAAAGGAUUCCCCCACGAUUCUGAGACAUAGUCGAACAAAAAACCACCCACCGACACCCAGCCGUACUGAGAAUUAGAGUACAAAAAAGACCAAGAAAAGAGAGCUCCGUCCACGCAAGGGCGGAGAGAGAUGAAAGAGCAGAGAUACCAAUUUCUUGGAUUCGACCCCCUUCUGAAAUUGCUCCUUCCACGCAUCCACGGUGUGGCAGCCGUACACCUGUCCCUCCUCCGCCAUUCUCUCUCUCUCUCUCUUUCUCUCUCUUUCGUCCAAGGGGUGUCGCCGCUUCUACGAUUAGGACGCGCUCGGCUCGCGCUCCUUUAUAUAGCCGGACAGAGCGGACUGAAAUUACCGAAAUGCACCCGCCUUUGGAGGUUUUUUGCUCUCAUGCCACAGCGCGAAACCCGCGUGUGCUCCUGCUCCGUCGUACGUCUCGGAGGUCCCCCGUCAAAUUAAAAUGGGCUAAGGCGGGGCACCGCCAAUCGCCAUCAUCUGAGGACGAUGGGGAGGGCCCAGGACGUCGUGGAUCGCGUACGCGAUGGACCGAGGUUACACUUUCGCUCAAAAUUCAGAUCAAUUUCCGUACACCGUAUGUCGUAAGUCUUAAAAUUUAUGACGAAAGCAUAAUAAAAUUUGAAAAUUAUUAAAAAGUAUAAUUAAGUUCUCUAACUUAUUAUCAUAUUGGUACAAUCACAUCUCAAAAGAUUUUAACAUUUUUUUUUCGUUAAGUUGGACAAAGUUAAUUAAAAGAUUUAGAUUGCACAAUUUUAAUAAGUUUUAGAACUUGAUUAAACAUUCGUGAUAAAUUGUAAGACUUGAUUACAUUUUUUAAAGAUUUCAGAAUUAAAUUACACUUUCUUAAUAAAUUUUAUAAUUUCUAGUAUGCUCAAUAUUUUUUUUUUCAUGCAAUAAACGCCCCUUUCUUUUAUAGAAUGCUCCCAGUUAAUCUUUGCGGUACUUCUAUCUUUCUCGUGUGUUCUAGAUUCAUCGAGACUUCGAAUUUCCCCCCGGUAAAUUUGACCUAAGAUCGGCCAAGAAUUGACUAAGAUUUGAUGGAUGAUCCCAAGGGCGUGGAACGCUGUUGGCGCACAGCGCGGAGCCUAGAUUUUUAGAUUUUGGUUUUGAAACUGGCUUUUGCGCAGACCACAAGGCUCGUGUUCCCACGCGACGCCCGUCAUCGUCAUCGUCAUCGUCCGCGGGUUAAAGGUCGUCCGCGGGUUAAAGGUGGUUAUUUAUCCUCUCUUUUGGAAGGGACGAUGCUGUCGUGCUCUGCACAUUUUUCCUUUCCUCAUUUUCCAUUUUUCCUAUUGGAAAUCUCUCGGCCAAUGUGUCUUCUAUUUUGGUUAAAGAAUCUUCCAUCUCUCCAAUUGGAAUUUUCUUUCCCGCGUGGCCAAAUUAGUGCCGCUCUUUUCUAGAAAUCCUCUUGCUGUGACGCGGGUCCCGUUACAUGCUAGUUUUUGUUUUUUUUUCUUUGCUUGAAAAGUUGAAAGGUUGAUGGGCAUCGGAUCUCUCUAUAGUUACUUCCAAGUGGUGUUUCCAAAAAAUUAAAAGUUAUUAACCACCUGAGCAGAUUCCUCUGCCUUUUUGGUGCUUGCAACUAUUUAAUCGCGUUGUUAUACACUCAGCCAUAAAACUUGUUCAUAAAUUUCUUGACUGUGCAAAGAGACAUGCGAAGUAAAUAUACACAUAAGUUUGUCAAAUAAGUAAGUUGGAUCGAAUAAAAAAUAGACUGAUAUUUACUUAGUUUUGGCCAUUUUCCAUGCAAUAUAAAUCUAAUAACCGAUACCCAAUCCAUCCUAACCUAAUUUCUAAAGUAUUUUUAUAUUUAACUCAAUUUAAGAAGACUCAUGCCAAAAGUGAGAUAAGAGCACGAAAUGAGCGAGUGCGAGAUUGAGUGUGGCAAAAAGGGGUCAUAGAAAAUAGUAAAAUUGAUUUUGUUUUUUGAAGAAAGGGGAUAUUUGAUUUUAAUUUCAUUAGCUUUUUGGCCGAGUGAAUGAAAGCAAGGAAGACCGCCAAAGAAAAGUAUUCUUCAAGAAGCCAUGUAUUGAGCCACUCCUUAAACCGACUUCAUUAAAUGGCCUCCACAAACCGCUAGGUGUGGACUCAUUAAAUAAAUUUUGUUUCUUUAUUUCUUGAAGGCGGCAAUUCCCAUUCACACUGAAGCUGGCAGAGCAAAAAUUCAACUUUGUUUCGUACAUGAAGUCAACUUAAUUCUAAGCGGUGUAGUUUAGGUGGUUAUACAUAUAAAUAUAAUAGUCAUGAAUGUUUUUGAGCGAUCUUUUCUCACAUGCAGAGAAAAGCUUUCCUUUGCUUUGUAAUCCACCCGACUAUAUACUAAACACUUCCUUGUCUUGUGCCAUUGUUGGUCUCUUUCAUUCAUCUCCUUUCUUGUUAUGCUUUACACACAAACUUCUGCAAAACUAAAAUUUGUUCCAACAAAGUUAGGUGCAAUUAAAUUGUAAAGCCAUUUAACAUUCAUACUAUUUUGAUUUUUACUAUUCUAAAUCCAUUUAUAAUUAAUUUAUUGCAUAUAACUAACUUAUAUAAUAACCAAGCCUAUUAAUAUGAGUUAAUAAAUGGAUUUAUAUCCCAUUUUGAUAUGUCUACAUACACACUACGCGCUUAUAGAGAUCUUAUUUAUUAUAGUAAAAAAGUUGCAUAAUAACCAUUGAAUCCUAGCUAGAGUUGCCUUGAAUCAAGUUAAUCUCCAAAUGAGAUUUCAAUGGAAUAUCCUUUCUUUAGUUUAUCGGAUUGGGGGCAAAAAAUGAGAUCAUUUCUCUUCUUCACAGUGGGAUGGUGCAUCAUUGUAUAAUAAGAGCUUAUUAUCCAUAUGCUUCACUAGACUAGAGUACUCAAUAGGUGCUGUCAACUAGAAUGGAGUAUCAGUGAUUAUUAGGCAAGGUUGGAUCGAGCUGGGUUGGAUUUUAAUGUCGUGAUUUGAUGUUAGCACAAACUAUGCCUAUCUGUGAUAUUUUAUGAGACCACCACUAGUUAUUCUAAAAACUUAAGCUAUUAGAUAAAGAAGUAGUUUAUUAUAUAAAUAUUAUAAUACUUCCCCUCUCACCCGUAGUCUAGCUUAAGUGUGGAAAUUUAAUUAGAAAGGUAAAUAGGGUAUAUAAAUAUUCGAUUUUAGGACCCCGAACUUUGGUAUCAUAUGAGAUUUUGUGAGACCACUUGUUGCGAAAAACGAGCAAUUGAACAGUAAAAUAGACAAAAGAAGAAAAUAAAUUGGACACCGGAUUUACGUGGUUCGGUUGUAAAGACCUACGUUCACGAAGAGAGUAGCGACGAAUUUCACUAUAGAUCAAGCAAUAUAAAGAGAUUACAUACUCGAGUCACUCAAACACUCUCUCGGUAUUUCCUAAGCCUCAAUUAUACCCAAUAACGCACGCAGUGUUUAGCCCCGAAAUUCCUCAAGAAAUAAUCUGUCAAUCUCACGAAAGAAUUACGCACAAAUCUUAUCACAAAAUUUAAUUGGCUUGAACAUUAAAUCUUCUUGAAUGUAAUUCACGGACAAAAACGACAAAGAAAAACUCUCCCAAGCACUCGACGACGAGACGACGCUUCAAGACCAAUUCUUCAUGAUUAACCUCCACCCACGAACAAUCCUUGAGAAUUGAUAUAUAAUCCACCACCGGAGAAGUCUACGCGUGAGGGAAACCGAAUCAACUAGGAUCCGGUCAACCCAAGCAAAAGUUGGACUUUCCUUUGCAGUUACCUUGCUGAUUUUAACCAAAAUAUAUCUCUAUAUAUUUUAAACAAAAUCUAAGUCCAAGUUAAAGUUAGACUUUCCUAUUUUAGCGACCAAACUCUCCAAUGCAUACUCGAAAUUUUGGGAAGUUGAUCUUUGGAUGUUCUUUGCUCGAUUUUGAACGUCCGCAAAAUAUCCAAUUCGGAAUAUUCGGAAUUUCACAUUGGGCUCAAACUCGAGACAUAUUUUAACAAUCUCCACCUUGGCUCGAUGUUGGAGCCAAGCUGCAAUCACUUUGCAAAAAUUUAAACUUUACCGUUACUUUCCCAUAGCCCCCGAUGGGCUUAACCACCACAGAUAUUAUUCAAGUCAAAUGUUCGCUUGAAUUCGUCAUAACCGAGAACCUCAUCAGAAUACCAACUCCAUAUCUAUGUAGCACUGACAUGGACAUGCGAUACGCGACACGUCAUUUAUAAAAAAAUAUAGAAUUCUGACACAUUCUGACACGUUAUAUAUUAAAUAAAUAUUUUUAUAUAUAAUUUCAUAAAUAACUAAAUAAUAAUAAUAAUAAAAGCCUAGAAUUAAUCUAUACUAAAAAAAUUAAUUCUACAUUGUUUAAUAUCUUUCAUUAUUUUAAUUUGACAAAUUUAACUACAUUUUUAUUGUAAUAAUCCAUAAAACUUGGAGGAAAAAAUAAGUAAUCCACAUUUCACUAUUAAAUUUAAAAUUUAACAAUAAGCAGAAAAAAUCAACAUUCCAUCGUUAAAUAUAACAAAAAUUCAUUCAUCCACAUUAUCCACUUCUUCUUCUUCUGAAAAAAAAAAAAAAAAACUCAAUCUCCAGCUCAUCAAGUGAAAGAUUCGCAACUUCAAGCACCCCAUCAUCUUCAAAUGAGUCAAAUGCAUCAUCACCAAUAUCCUACAUCUUGGUCUCUUCUUCUGCGUAUUGUGGGUUUUUUUUAUUUUUUUUAUUUUUUUUAUUUUUUAUUUUUUAUUUAUAAAAGACGAAGAUUGCUAUAAAUAAAAACCAAAGAAUGUUGUGCAAAAAGCUUUAAGGCUAUGUUUUGAAGUAUCGGUGCACAUGCACCAUAAUUAACCCACCAAGCCUUAGGAUCCAUUGAAUAUCAAUUUUGAAUGGAAUUAAAAUCUCUAAAAUUCCAAUUUUUACUCGUAAAAUCUACAUACUCCAAAUUCACCUUGUUGCGCUCAUCCAAGUUAGGAAGAUAUUUCUUGAAGCAUUUCAAUAUUUCUUUGUUGAUCUCCUUAUUCUUGUAUGGAGAAAUUCGAGUAGAAUCUUCAUCAAGCCAUUGAUCACUAUAGUACCUUUAUUUAAUAAAAUAAAAUAAAAUUAGAAAACAAUAAUAAAUAAAAUGAGUAUUAUAUUAUCAUGUUAAAGAAAUAAUAGCUAUUAAAGUAAUAAUCUCAUUCUAUUUUAGAACUUACCUGGGAUUUAAAGCAUGUGCCAAGCAAUGAAGUUGAGUAUUGUUUUUUGUCCAACGAUCUACAAUAAUUGUGUGAACCACCUCAUAAAAUGUGGACUUCUCAUGUAGGCUCUUCACUUCAUGUGCAUAUAUAGCUUUCUUCACUUUUUCGAUCAUUAAAUCCAACAUAUCAUAAACUAAGUGAAGAUAAGGUUUAUCGGUAUCACAAAUUCUAAGUAUAUCAUAAAUAUGAGCCAUGAAAGAAAGUAUAUAAUCAAUCAAAUCCCAUAAAAAAUCAUCAAACACCUUCUCCUUGACAAACUUAGAUUUCCCUUGAUUAUCAUCUAGAUAGAUAUUCCAUUUGUCACAAAUUACCAUGUUUUGAAGACCAUUUUUUAUUAACUUGAAUCUCCUAAGCAUCACAAUAAUCGAAGCAAAACGUGUAUCCGCUACAAAAAGUAACUUUAAGCUACCAAACUCAUUGUAUAUUGCUAAUCUCAUAGAAUGGUGCAUGAUGAAAUGUUUGUUUUGCAUAACUUCCUUAAUAAUAUCUGAAAUUCAAUUACAUUCCUCAUAAACUAUAUGAUUACUCUUCAUAUUUUUUAUGGCACAAAUAUUCUUCAAAAUUAGAUUAAGGGUGUGCACCACACAAGGCGUCCACAUAAUGGAUGGAAAUUCUUACUCAAUAAGUUGUCCCGCGCCCUUACAAUUUGAAGUAUUAUCUGUAAUUACUUGGAUCACAUUCUCAUGCCUAAUUUCAUUGAUAACUCCUUUCAGCAAGUUAAAAAUGAAAUGCAUAUAUUUUGUUUCUCUCGAGCAAUUAACCAAUUUUAUAAACAUUGGUUCUCCAUCCGACACCGCCAUGAAAUUAAUAAGUGAUCUUCUUUGUGAGUUGCUCCAUCCAUCACUCACAAUACUUAUACCCUUCUCAUUCCACAUGUUUUUUAUAGGUGCACACAACCUAUCAAUAUUUGCAUUUUCUUUUUGCAACAAAGUGGUCCUCAACAAAUUAAACUUUGAUGGUAUAUAGCCCGCAAUAUUAUGAUUAGCGGCAUAAGUGAAAGCGGAUUGAAAAUAAAGAUUCAUUCUUAGGUUAAACGGCAAGCUCACCAAAUACAACAUCCUAGCAAUUUCACAAUUUAGAUGUUCCCGUUGAGUCAUAUUAAAUGCAUCUUCAAGUGAUUUUUCACUCCCACUUCCACAUUUCUUUUUUUUGGAGUUAAAUGAUAAAUCCAUUUCGUCACCACCACCACUAAGUGAAAAACUAGAAAGAGGCAAAUAUACAUUCUAAGUGUAAUACUCAUUAAUUUAGUAUUGACCUCUUCCUCUAAUCUUUUCAUCUCCAAAAGAUCUUUUUUAUUUUUUUCUUUUGUGCAUUUUCCAAUUCAUUUUCCACUUAUCAUCAUCAAAUGGCUCUUUCAAUUUGUAAAAUCUUUUUUACAAAUUUCCUCCCGCAUCAGUAUGAUUAACUGACUUAGUAACAUACCUCCAUAAUGGUUGUUUUACAACUUCAUUGCGAGAGGUAGGUGGUUGUGUACUUAAAGUACUACUGGCCAUGUUUGAACUUGAAAACAUUAUGUAAAAAAAACAAAAAAAAUACAUGUUAUUAUCAAUUGCUAUAAGGUUUCUUAGUUAAAGUUAACUAAGGAAAAUUGAUAUCAACCGGAAGCACAUUGCGAGAAGCGGUAAACAGCAGUAGACAACAACAAAAUAGUGACAGACAACAAUGAACAAUAAUAAAUGACAGUAAGCAACAAUAGAUAGCAGCGAGCUACUGUGAACAAUAGUAAUAAAGCAGCCAACGACAGCGAGCAAGAGUAAUACAACAGUGAAUGGUAGAGAACAAUAAUAAUACAACAACAAACAGCAGCAAUACAACAACGAACAAUAGCAGCAAAAUUUCCAUCAUCAAUUUCCGACCAUCACACAUACACGACCAAAGCCAUUAUGAAGAGGGCAUUGGACAAGACACUCGUGUUUUUACUUAUUGCAUGACCAUUGACAUAAUCAAGUCAACAAACCAAUUGUAUAAAUACUGAUAAAAGAAAAUCGGCUGCAUGAAUGAGAUGCAUCAUUGUUCCUUACAAGUACUUAAAUUUGUGGCACCACUUCCCACUUAUCUAAACCUUGUAAAUAGAAUCGGGAAACAUGAUUUUCCCAAUCAGGGCAACAUGCCUCUAAAGAUUGGUAGAGGUCAACAUCAGGAAGAGAUUUAAAAUGCACAUUCCAUGUCAAUUCUUCUCGAAUCCAUGGCUAGACAUUCCAUAACCCUUUUUUCAUUAGCAAACAACUAGCAAUAGCAGUUACCAGUCCUCAAAAUUGAGAAAAUCGACGUAGCUUCCGAACGUCAUAACACCCAUCUUAACUCAAACAAACGUUAGUGGCGUCUAGAUUACAACAACAAUAUAAGUUCGUAUGUUCUGAAGAAAUUAAACAACUCGUCUCCUUCCCACAAAACAAUUCCCAACUUUCGCAAAACACGUGCAAGCACCAUCAGCCGAAAAUUCAUUACCUAAACAAAAUUCCAACUUGAGCUCAACAACUCAUCUCUUCCCCACAAAUUAAUUCCCCCUCCAACCCCCCCCCCCACCCCCCUCUCUCUUCCACUACGAUACAUAAUAAGUAAAAACACGAGUGUCUUUCCCCGAACUAACUCUAGGGUUUGCAAAAAAAUCCCAAAUCGCAUUAUAAAGGAUUCCAAGAUGCUGAAUCGAAAUAAAAUAAAAUGGAAUGACACAACUUACUAACCUGAGAUGAGGAAAAAGAUGAAAUCGUGAUCGCAAGAUGAAGAGAAGCAACACAGCAACGCUUGUGAGAGGCAAAGGCGCUAGUCGCUCAAUUAGGGCGAUGACCCGAUGCUUGCGAGAGACUAAGGCGGGGUUGGAGGCAGCUAUGGCGACGGGUGGGGUUGAGGCGUGGGGGGCUAUGGCGAGUCGGCGAUUGGUGGGGUGGGCCUCGCAGCCGGCGAAGCAACACCGGCGAGAGACUCACAACAAAAGAAGAGAACGGUGCAUGCGACAGUGCGACUGAGAAGAGUCCAAAACCAAAAGUAUUGGAAAUUUGUUUUAACUUUUAUUAGUUUUUAUUUUAUUUUUUCAUAUAUUUAUAUUUAAACCCCAGAAGUUUUGAAAAUUUGUAAAAAUAAUCCCGUGCGUGUCAAAGUCAUGUGUCGAAAUUUCUUACUUGCGUGUUGGAGUGUGUCAGAGUGUCGGAUACGACACGAAAAGUCCCAGAGAGUGUUCGUGCUUCUUAGCUCCACAUGCACUUAUAACUACUCCACAAGGAUUUUCUGAUGCAACCUCCUUAACCGCAAAUAAAGCAAAACCAUUAUUGUAUUCAUAUUUGUCAGGAGAUCGAAUACGCACCUUGUUAAUUUCAACAGUUACGGCAACCAUUUGCUUUAUAGGUUCCACCUCGCUACAAGCAUCAUCCAUGUCAAUUACUUUGCUAGUACUCGUACUUCUACCUCAGGAGAUUCUGGUUGCAACUCCACCUCAAGAUGAACACCAUUCAAAUCCGUUUGAUUACUGCUAUAAUCACUCCUAGCCAAAAAUACUAGAGACUCAUCAAACGUAACAUCUCUGCUGAUAAUAAAUGAAUUUAACUUCGGGCACCACAAUCGAUAACCCCUUUCACCUCGUGCAUAACCUAAGAAUAUGCACUUUCUUACCCUUUUGUUGAAUUUACCAUCAUUCGCUCGAAUAUAACAUGGGCAACCAAAUAUUCUAAAAAUAGAAUAAUUAGCAACGUUACCUUACCAUACUUUUUCGAGAGUCUCAUAUCUAAUCGCAAUCGAUGGUGAUCUAUUCAUCAAGUAGCACAUUGUACUUAGGGCAUCCGCUAGGAAUCUCCUAAUCAUACCAGUACUAGAGAGCUUUUUAUGAGCCGUCUCUAGCAAUGUUUUGCUCAUCAAUUAUGCAACAUAUUGCGGUUCAUUAGCAUUAGUGCGGUGUUUCACUAUACCUUCCUUUUUGCAGAAUUUGUUUAACAAUUUCGAGCAAAACUCCAUGCUACCGUCAGUCCGCACAUGCUUGAUCGUCUUACCAAUCUCCUUUUUGAUCAAAGCUAUCAACUGCUUGAUCCUGACAAUAGCAUCAAACUUGUGCCUAAGCACAAAUACCCACGUCUUAGUCGAGUAGUCAUCAACAACCCUUAGCAUAUAUCUAGCACUCUUCUUCGAAGGAAACCACAACAACCUGCAAACAUUCAAGUGAAUUAACUCUGCAAUUUCCAUGGUUUCUUUGGCAAUUGUACUUAAUUGCACUUUCCACCAUGGAUCUAAAUCAUAACACCUGUAUACAUUUAGUUUGUUAGGAAUAUAACCACAUAGCAGAUUUCUUUCACUUAAAACCUUCAGACUUCUCUUGUCAAUGUGCUCUAAAUGCAUAUGCCAUAAUUCAGACUCUCAAAUAGAUGCAUCUGACGUCUUCACAACGAAAUUUGUCAUUGUCUCAUCUUGAAGCUCAUACAGGCCAUUAUGCUCGAUUACUUUCAUUAUUAUCGAAGCGCCUCGAGCAAUUUUUAGAAUUCCACAUUAUGAAAUAUAUUGAUACCUAGCUAAAUUCAAGGCACUCAAAGAAAUUAAGUUCUUUUUCAACUCUGGAAUGUGCCUCACUCCAGUCAAUGUCCUCAAGAUACCAUCAUACAUUUUGAUUCUAACAUUGCCAACACCGAUGACCUUGCAUUUAGCAUUGUUCCCCAACUGCACUUUACUAUUAUCCAUGCAUUAAUAAGUAGUAAACCGGUUUCUAUUUGGUGUAACAUGAAAAGAACAACCAGAAUCCAUAAUUCAUCUAUCAAACGAUGAAUAAUCAAUGACAAAUAAGAUAUAAUCGACAUUAUCUGUUACAACUGCAACAUUAUUUGCAGAAUCAACUAUAAUUUCAUUACCAUUCUCAUUCUUCAGCUUAAGACAAUUCCUUCUAAGAUGUCUCCUCUUGCCACAACUCCAACAGACAAAUCACCAAUCGUAGACUGACUACGCCUGUUUAUAUUAGUACUACUCUUACUAACAUGUGUUCUAGAUCUUCCUCUAUUUUCACCUACUAAAGCAGCAGAUACAGGUUUGCCAGAUUCUCUUCUACGGAUGUCCUUAUUCAAAAUCAAAUCUUGAACCUCAUCAAAUGUCAAACUUGUUGACCCGGAGGAAUUACUAACGGCAGUAACAUAGUAUUCCAACUAUCAGGCAAUGGGGAUAAUAGAAUCAAAGCAUGUACCUUAUCUUCAAAGUCAAUCUUAACUGAACUCAAUUGACUAACAAUCACAUUGAAUUCAUUAAUAUGAUCUGCAACUAACGCACCUUCGCUCAUCUUCAAAUUAAAUAAACGUCGCAUCAAAUAGACUUUGUUGAUCGUAGAGGGAUUCUCGUAUAUAUUUAAUAGGGCUUGCAUCAAAUUAGUAGGGGUCUUCUCCUUCAAGAUGUUAAACACGACAUUACGAGAGCCAAUGUCAGUCGAAUAACACCCAUAGCUUGUCUAUCUAGCAAAUCCCAAUCAGCUUGCUUCAUCGACUUUGAUUUCUCCCUAGAUAAGGGCAAGUGCAAUUUCGUCUAGUAGAGAAAAUCUUUAAUCUACAUCUUCCAUAAGCCAAAAUCAUUUUCAUCAAAUUUGUCGAUUAUCACUUUUAUUUCUUCUGUCGCCAUCGAUUCAUUUCAACUUAGCCAAGUCUGGCUAUGAUAUCAAUUGUUGCAAAAAACGAGCGAUCAAAUAAUAAAAUAGACAAAAGAAGAAAAUAAAUCGAACACCGGAUUUACAUGGUUUAGUCGGAAAGACCUAUGUCUACGGAGAGAGCAAUGACGAAUUUUACAAUAGAUCAAGCAAUAUAAGGAGAUUACACACUUAAAUCACUCAAACACUCUCUCAAUAUUUCUCAAGCCCCAAUUACACCCAAUAAUGAAUGCAGUGUUUAGUCCCGAAAUUCCUCAAGAAAUAAUCUAUCAAUCUUAUGAAAGAAUUACGCGCAAAUCUUACCACAAUAUUUAAUUAACUUGAACACUAAAUCUUCUUGGAUGUAAUUCACAAACAAGAACGACAAAGAAAAACCCUUUCAAACACUCGACGAUGAGACGACGCUUUAAGACCAAUUCUUUGUGAUUAACCUUCACCCACGAACAAGCCUUGAGAAUUGAUAUAUAAUCCACCGCUAGAGAAGUCUACGCGUGAGGGAAACCGAAUCAGCUAAGAUUCGAUCAACCUAAGCAAAAGUUGGACUUUCCUUUGCAGGUAUCUUGUCGAUUUUAACCAAAAUAUAUCUCUAUAUAUUUUAAACAAAAUCCAAGUCCAAGCCAAAGUUGGACUUUCCUAUUUUAGCGGCCAAACUGUCCAACGUAGAAUUGAAAUUUUGGAAAGUUGAUCUUCGAAUGUUCUUUGCUCGAUUUCAAACAUCCGCAAAAUAUCCAAUAGGUAUGGAAGCUAUAAUUGUAAAGCACAAUCAAAUUUAUGGAAGCAUUAGUUUAUACAUUCCUCUUAGUCUUAAUUCAAGGGAUAAUUUUUUUCGCUAUCUUUUUUUGAGAACCACCUAAAGUUCCAACUAAAAAGGUGAAAUGAUUUUUCAUUAUAUCAAUUGAAUUGAAGUAAUGAAAUAUUCAGAAUUUCACAUUGGGUUCAAACUCGAUACAUAUUUUAACACAACUGCUUACUAUUAUGAAAGUUUAAGUUAUUAAAUGAAGAUAAUAUUUAUUAUUUAAAUAUCCUAACACUAUCGUAUAAUUUUUAUCAUACAAAUUCGAUUGAGUUAGGCUUAGCUCAAGCCCAAUUAAGUCAUAGGCCAAGCUUCUCAUGAUUUGCCUAGCAAAGCCUAUUCAAAGUUGUCUUUGUUGGAGAAAUCUUUCCAGAAUAUUUUGAAGCUGACAAAACGUUUCUAUCAGUCUAGUCUGGAUAAGUACAGAUCUUCUGUUUAGAGUCUGAAGACUUUCAGAUCACCAGACUCAAGACUCAAGAGUUAAGUCUAUUCUCAUUGACAGUGUUUCUAAUCUAGUGACGAAGGCAAUCCAGAGGCAAUCCAGAGCCAAAGUAUUUGGUUUAGGAUUUGGUCUUAUCCUUUGGAGAAGAUCUCUUGGCUGGAUAAAUAUAACGGAUUCUUUUAUUCGUAAUCAAGAUCGUUUGAAGAUCCGAUGGUCGGCGAAAUAUUCUUGGAAUGUUCUAUUCUUGGAAACCAAGAUCCUGAUUGUAUGGGCGAACAGGAUUGAUGGGCUAUCGUCAGAUUCCUUUAAUAGCUCGAAUGAUCUUCUUGAUUGAUUCCGUCCAACGGGUAGAUUGGAGAAAUUCCUUUGGUAAGUGCCAACGGAUAUGAUGGCAUAAAGGAGUAUAAAAGGAAAACAUUCUAGUUGCUUUAGUGCAUGAUAGAUAGAGAAAUUCCAGAGUCUAAAGUACCUUGAUUAUUAGUCGAUACAUUCUGAGCAAAAUUGUACACACAGAGAGUGUCUAUACUUAGUGAUACCUUGAACGAGUGUGGUAGAUCAUCUACACCGAGAAAGCAAGGGAGAACAACACUGUAACAUCUCUUUGUUCAUAGUAGAAUCCAGCCAAUAGGCUGUCAGUGUAGAAGAGUGGACGUAGGCUUGACAUAAGCCGAACCACUAUAAACCGCGUGUUCAAUUUUCUCUUCUCUCAGUCUUACUUUGAUUAUCGUUUGUCUCAAAUCCAUCAACUGUCUAGUAUUGUGCAAUUAUCGAGAAAAAUCUUUUAUAUACCUAUUCACCCCCUCUAGGUACUUAUACUAGCUAUAUCAAUUGGUAUCAGAGCCUGUGUACUUACUUUAUUUGAAGUGUUUUACUUCGUAGUAAAAGAUCCAUGGCUAGUAUGCUAGCACCAGGGCUGAUAGAAGGGCAAAGCAAUACCAUACCACCCUACUUUGAUGGAAAGGAUUACAACAUCUGGAAGAACAAGAUGAAAGCUUUCCUACGAUCAAAGGAUCCUCUGGAAUGGGACGUUGUAGAAAAAGGAAUUACUCCUACAAUUGCAUCAGUCUCUAAAAGAGGAAAAAAAACUGUUGAGACCAGCGGAAUGACUCAGGAAGAGAUAAUCAAGAGACAAGCACUCGAUGCAAAAGCAAUUUACUCUUUAUAUUGUGCUUUGUCACCAACUGAAUAUAAUAGAAUAUCUUCUUGUGUUACAGCAAAAGAAGUUUGAGACAUAUUGCAUAUCACCUAUGAAGGAACAGAUCGAGUGAAGGAAACCAGAAUUAACAUUCUUCUCAGUCAAUAUGAAGCCUUCAAAAUGAAACCAGGAGAAUCUAUAACUGACAUGUUUAGCCGUUUUACCGAUAUUGUGAAUGGUCUUGAGAAUCAAGGACAAACAAUUUCUGAUCCCAUGAAGGUAAACAAGCUACUGCGUGGACUCUCCAAGGAUCGGAAUCACAUAAAGACUUCGAUAAGAGAGACGCAAAGAAUUAUGCCACUAUCUGUCGACGAGCUGAUUGGAACUCUUCAGUCUUAUGAAGUGGAACGGAUCAAUGAAGAUGAAGAUCCAAAAGGUAAGAAAUCCAUUGCAUUAAAAUCAAAUGAUGAUUCUGAUGAUACAUAUUCUGAAGAUGAUAUGGACGAUGAGGAGCUUGCUCUCAUGAUAAGAAGAUUCAGAAAACUGAAUAGAAAAGGAAGAAGGUUCAACUCAAAGAAACAAAGCUUUCAAAGACAGCAGACCAAGUCUGUUGAUGAUGAGGAACCAAACAAAGAUGUAGUCUGCUUUGAAUGUAAGAAAAAUGGACACAUCAGACCCAACUGUCCUCUUCUGAAGAAGAAGAGAGGAAAAGCUGAAAAAUUUCGAAAAGCUUUCAAAGCCGAAACCUGGAGUGAUACAGAGUGUGAAGAAAGUGAUAAUGAAUAUGUCAAUCUAUGUCUGAUGGCACAAUCAAACUUAGACUCUGGAUCAGACUCAGACAGUGAAUUUGAGGCAAGUAAUUUUAAAAUUCCUGUCAAAGUUUCUAAAUACAUUGAUGAACUGUGUUUUAGUCUUAAGACUUCUCUCAAAAUAAUUUCCGAACUUAAAAAAGAAAACUCAGCUCUAAAACAAAAGGAAAACGUUUUAGAAGAAAGAGUUAAAAGUCUAGACUUGACUGUUUCCACUCUUAAAGAAAAUGAAGAUAAUCUUUUAAAAGAAAAUGCUCUUUUAAAAACUGACUUAUCAAAUAUUUCAAAGAAAUUUUCAAUAGGGUCUGAAAAACUUGAAAAAAUUCUUUCAGCUCAAAGACCUUACUUCAAUAAGUCCGGUCUAGGUAUGACAGCAGAAACAAUUCCCUUGAUUGAUUUUCCUAAAGUAAAAGAAAGAAUUAAGAAAAGACCAUCGAGAGAGGCUUACAAAAAUCAUUUCAAGAAAGUUUUUGUAAAGUCUGUAGGUAGAAAUGCUCUCAGAUGUUCAAAGUGCAACAGUCCGGAUCACUUUGAAAAAGAGUGUCCUAUGGUUUGGAAACCUGUUAAGAAAAUAUGGGCUAAUACUGCUUAUCUUACUAACACCAAAGGACCCAAGAAAGUUUGGGUACCAAAGAAAGCUUGAGACUUUAUUUUAAAUGUAGGUCUCCGUCAAGAAAAAGGUAAAGUGGUAUCUUGACAGUGGAUGCUCAAGACACAUGACAGGAGACUCAAAUUGUUUUAUAAAGCUUGCUCAAGUAAAUGGUGGAAAAGUUUCAUUUGGAGGAAACAACAAAGGAAGUAUUGUGGGAUUUGGAACUGUGAAAAUUGGAAAUCUCACAAUAAGUAAUGUUUCCUUAGUGGAAGGACUCAAUUACAAUCUUCUUAGCAUUAGUCAAUUGUGUGAUACUGGUUUUAAGAUCUUCUUUCAAGAAGGAAUAUGUUCUGGAAUCAGUAAAGACUCUACUCAGUCUUUCAUGGGUCGAAGACAUGGAAACAUCUAUCUUCUGGAUGUGAAACCAAAUGAAUCGCAAUGUCUUAUCUCAAUUCAAGACGAAGCAAGCUUAUGGCACAGAAAGCUUGGUCAUGUCAACAUGAAGUAAUUAGCCAAAAUCUCAUCAAAGCAACUUGUUCGAGGUCUACCCAAAUUACCUUAUCAAAAGACUGAUCCAUGCACUCCAUGUAUUCUGGGAAAGCAUGUAAGAAAUUCAUUUAAGCCAAUAAAUCAUGUCUCUACUAAUCAUGUACUGCAGUUGCUGCAUAUGGACAUCUUUGGACCAACCAGAACACAGAGUAUUGGAGGUAAGAAAUAUUGCCUAGUAAUUGUGGACGAUUACUCCCGUUUUACUUGGGUAUAUUUCCUUGCAAGUAAGUCCGAAACCUUCUCGUAUUUUGAAAAAUUUGCUAAAAAGGUUCAAAAUGAAAAAGGAUGUGUUAUCUCAAGUAUAAGAACAGAUCAUAGAGGUGAAUUUGAAAAUCAAGAUUUUAGAAAAUUUUGUGAUGAAUCUGGCUUUAAGCAUGUGUUCUCCUCUCCAUAUACUCCUCAGCAAAAUGGAGUUGUGGAAAGAAAGAAUAGAUCUCUUCAAGAAAUGGCUAGAACUCUUUUAAUUGAAAGUAAGAUUUCUUCACGAUUUUGGGCUGAAGCUGUUUCAACAGCAUGCUAUAUCAUCAAUAGAGUCUUCUUAAGACCUAUUCUAGAGAAAACCCCUUAUGAGUUAUUCAAAGAUAAGAAGCCUAUUGUUUCAUACUUUCAUAUAUUCGGUUGCAAAUGUUUUAUAUUGAAAAAUGCAAAAGAUCGAGUUGGUAAGUUUGAAGAAAGAUCAUAUGAAGGUAUCUUCCUUGGAUAUUCUACAUCAAGCAAAGCCUACAGAGUCUAUAACAAGAAGAGCCAGUCUGUGGAGGAGUCAAUGAAUGUCAAAUUUCAAGACUCAACGCAAGAUGAAUCAAGUCAGACUCAUCAAGAAGAGUCUGAACCUGCUCCAGACCCUCCAAAGCUUACAACUCAAGAAGCAUCUCAAACUCUGGAAGACUAGCAUCAGGUUGUUCGUAAAGAUCCAAAUAAAGAGAGAGAUCAUCAACUAGACAAAUCAACAAGUAACUGGAAGCAUAAGUCCAGUCAUCCCAAAGAUCUUAUUAUCGGCGAGAUUAAUGAAGGAAUUCGCACCAGAUCCAAAAGGUGAGAAGAGUCUAAUGUUGUGGCUCUCGUUUCUGAAAUUGAACCAAAGAGCAUAGAAGAAGCUUUAUCUGAUGAAAGCUGGAUUGAAGCUAUGCAAGAAGAGCUCAGACAGUUCAACAUUAAUGAUGUCUGGGAAUUGACAUCCAAACCAAAAGGUAAAACUGUUAUUGGAGCUAAAUGGGUGUUCAGGAACAAGAUGAAUGAGAAAGGAAGAGUCGUACGAAACAAAGCAAGACUCGUGGCCAAGGGAUAUAUGUAAGAAGAAGGAAUAGACUAUGAUGAGACUUACGCACCAGUAGAAAGGUUAGAAGCUAUUCGACUAUUACUUGCGUUUGCUUGUUAUAAGAAUUUCAGGUUAUUCCAAAUGGACGUCAAAAGCGCAUUCCUAAAUGGAUUUAUCCAUGAGGAAGUUUAUGUGGAACAAUCACCAGGGUUUGAAGACCCAAAGAAGCCAGACUCAGUCUUCAGACUGAAAAAGGCUUUGUAUGGUUUAAAGCAAGCACCUCGAGCUUGGUACGAUAGACUAAGUAAGUUCUUAAUACAAAAUGGUUUUGUCAAAGGUAAAGUAGAUACAACUUUAUUUAUCAAAAAGGAAAACAAAAGUUUCUUACUUGUUCAAAUAUAUGUGGAUGAUAUUAUUUUUGGAUCCUCUAAUGAAAAUCUGUGCAAGAAAUUUUCUAAGUCUAUGCAGGAUGAGUUUGAAAUGAGUAUGAUGGGAGAGUUAACAUUUUUUCUUGGUCUUCAAGUAAAACAAUUGAAGGAGGAACUUUUAUUUAUCAAGAAAAAUAUGCUAAUGAUCUUGUCAAAAGGUUUGGACUGGAAAAGUGCAAAAAGACCGACAUACCGAUGUCAAGUUCUUUGAAGAUAGACAAAGAUGAAGAAGGGAAGAAAGUUGAUCAAAAGCUGUACAGGAGCAUCAUUGGUUCACUUCUUUAUCUUACUGCUUCUAGACCUGACAUUUUGUUGAGUGUUUGCAUCUGUGCUAGGUUUCAAUCAGAUCCUAGAGAAUCCCAUCUCAGUGUUGCGAAACGUAUUAUCAAAUACGUUGCUUCAUCAUCAAGCAUCGGUCUUUGGUAUCCUAAGAAUGGAGACUUUAAUCUUCUGGGAUAUUCAGACGCAGAUCUGGCCGGUUGCAGAGUUGAUAGAAAGAGCACUUCGGGAACUUGCCAGUUGCUUGGAAGCAGGAUAAUGUCUUGGUUUUCAAGGAAACAAAGCACUGUGGCUCUUUCAACAAUAGAAGCAGAGUAUGUAGCCCUUGGAAGUUGCUGUUCGCAAAUUCUAUGGAUAGAACAACAGCUACAAGACUUUGGAAUUGAAGACUCAUGCACAGAGAUUAGAUGUGACAACACCAACGCAAUCAAUCUCACUAAAAAUCCAAUCCUUCACUCAAGAGCAAAGCAUAUAGAGAUUCGCCAUCACUUCAUUAGAGAUCAUGUUCAAAAUGGAGAAAUCUCAAUUCAAUUUGUUGAUUCAAAAAAUCAACUAGCGAAUAUAUUCACAAAGCCUUUGGAGAAAAAUCAAUUCGAUUUCAUCCGUUCAAGACUCAACAUUUUGAAGCUUGAGGGAGUUAAAGUCUAGAGACUCUUCAGACUCAACAUUUUGAAGCUUGAGGAAGUUAAAGUCUAGAGACUCUCCAACCCUCAGACUCAGACAUUCAUGGCUAUAGACUGUAAGUUGUUAUUAUAUUCAAUCUCGAAAAGGUACAAUCAUUAGUUUAUAAUUUCCAUGAAAAACUGAAUCUUGUCUUUCAAAAGGGAUUAACCUCUAUUUGGUAGUUAUUGAUUUUAAAAGAGACGUCUGUUCAUUUUCCUUUGUGCCGAUUGAUUUUUCCUUUUUAAACUGAGUUAUAUAUAUACAGUUUUCCUCGCUUACACUUCAAAACCCUAAAAGGCAUUCUCCUCCCAAUCCUGUUUCUACUUCGUGUUUAUCUUCGAGAAAGUUGUCAUCUUUUCUUGGGAAAGCGAGUCAAGGAAUCUUUCAAUGACAAGAAAGGAUGUCUUCAUCGAGAAAGUCUUCAAGAAUCGCAAACAGGGGACCACAGAGAAUGAGGGAGGGACCUACCCAUUUCGAUCUCACAGAAGAUGAAGAUUUACCGAGUCAGCAACAGAGCCCGAUUCACUCUCCACCACGUCACUCUUCAUCAUCUACCCCACAAGAUGUGAGUCAUCAACAGGAGGAAGAAAUAAUCGAGGACGCAGACCCUGUAAGAGUCCAAAAACCCUCUUUUAUUUACAAGCUCUAUCGUGCAAUGAAGAGCAUUGGGACUUCGCUGAACUAUAUAGAUGAUUUCCUUAAAGAUAAGAAUUAUGGGAAUGAGUAUCUAUUUCUGCGACGAAUGGAGGAUUUGGGAAUUGCUCCCAAAGGAAAGGCUGAGGAAGCACUUGCGAAUAUUCCAAGUGACCCUCGUGUAUUGGGACUGAAUCCCACUGACGGGAACGAUGAUGAUAAAAUGUUCAGAGAAUUUCAACCUCUAAUGGAAGUUGCUGCGAAGGUGAAAGGAAAAAGAAAGGAUUUGUUUAAAUCGAAGGAACAAGAGAAUCUGUUCUUUAGACUGUUGAAACGAGGGGUGAUAAAUCCCAGGAGUGUUGAUUUCGAUUUCUUGGAUGCCAUUAAUGUGAACUUAAGGGAGAAGUUAAAUCUGCUUCAACUUGAGCAAUUCUGCUCCGAUACCACAGACGGUUAUGCACAAUUAACAGCAUACUUCUAUUCGAAUCUUAGCUUUUUGGAUGCGAAUAGAAUAUCAUUCAGUGUUCGAGACCAAGUCUAUGAGGUGGAUGUGGACAUGUUGGUAGAUAUAAUUGGAGUUGAAAGAGGACGGUAUAGACCAAUCAAGGUUUCAAUCGCUCGUACCACUCUGGAACUUGUCAAAGACAGGAGUACAGAAGGAAGAGUUACCUAUUCAAGAAUGCAUGCCAUCAACAUUUUGCUUCACAAAAUUGUGAUCAACUGUAUCAGGCCAAAGUCUACAUCAAAGACUGAUGUGUCUAAUUCCGAGGCAAAAUUGAUGUAUGCGAUCAAUUCAGGGAAAAAGUUCUCUCUCCCUCACACCAUUCUCUUUCACAUGUACAAAGCAAUGGUGAAGGACAAGGGCCAAUUGCCUUAUCCAGGUCUUGUGACCAAGAUCUUCAGACACUUGAACAUUGAACCUACACAUACUCUUUGUGUUCGACCAUGCGAUAAAAUGGUGGUGGGUUUGAAAAUGCUGACUAAAAUGCGUCUGAAAGAGCUUAGUAAGGCAAUGGAGAAGUUCAAAGUGAAGACUCCAGCAUCUUCUGCAUCAAAGAAAAAAGGGAAGGAGCCCAUUGGUGCCUCAUCCAAAAAGAAAAGAACUCUUAUCUUGGAGGAUGAAGAUGAAGAUGAAGAUCUCACUAUCCCUGCAUUGAAAAGAACCAGACGUUCUGUACCUGAAUCAACAGAACAACAGAAGAAGGGAAAAGAAGCAGAAGAAAAAGAACAGAGAGAAGAAGAGGGACAAGCAAAGAACAGAGAAGCAGAGGAGCAACAAGAGAAAGAGAAAGAAGCUACAGAAGAAGGAGAAGCAGAAAAAGAAAAGUCUGCAGAUGAAGCUGCAGAGGAAGGGAAUCAAGGCGCAGAAGAGCAUGACCAUCACUCUUCCCCAAUUGAGGUCCUAGAGACAGGGGGAGAUGGCGAGCAAGGAAGGACUACACCACAUGCUGUCAACAGUGAAGGUGUGAGUCGCUCACCAGCAAAUCCAGAAGAUUUUCAGGCUUCUCAAAUGCCUAAAGAAGGACAUGAUACGUCAACACCAAAUCUGCUUGAUUACAACGAAGUUCCAUCGUCUGCCUUCACUCCAUCUGAAAGAGCAAAUGCAAGCACACAGACGGACAAUACAGCAGAUUUUCGUUGUAUUCUUGAUGUUCUUCUGGAAAUGCAGGAUCAAAUCUAUGCUCUGGAAUGUGAACUUCAAGUCAUGAAGAAUGCUGGAAAAGCAUCUUCUGUCACCCUGGCAGAUCAAAUGAAAGCCCUCGCUCUUCAAAUUCAAGCCAAUGCCAAAGGAGAAGAGGUGGCUCAUCUACGGGAAGACUUGAAGAGGCUGGAAGGCAUCGUUCAAUUGAUGGGAGAUUUCCAGAUUGUGCGCGUUCCCAAGAAGACUUGGUUUUUUUCUCACCUUUUUAAUGAUGACAAAAAGGGGGAGAAUUGCAAUUUGAACUCUUUAAACUCUUUAAACUUUGACGUGUUUGAAUAUUUGAGUAUGACUUGGGUGUGAACUUGAAUUUGACUGACUUGUGUGGAUUUUGAUGUUUGACUGUUUGCAUUUAUAUCAAGUGUUGUUAUAUGAUCUUACUCAUGAAAACUAACCAAUUUUCUGAGGGUGCAGAGUUUGGUUGAUUUAUUUUAUGAGAUAGCCAUAUUGCUUGAGUAAUGUUUUGCAGGUCAAAGUUGUUCAAAUCUACAGGAAAGUUUUGUCAUAAUCAAAAAUGGGGAGAUUGUUGGAGAAAUCUUUCCAGAAUAUUUUGAAGCUGACAAAACGUUUCUAUCAGUCUAGUUUAGAUAAGUACAGAUCUUCUGUUUAGAGUCUGAAGACUUUCAGAUCACCAGACUCAAGACUCAAGACUUAAGUCUAUUCUCAUUGAUAGUGUUUCUAAUCUAGUGACGAAGGCAAUCCAGAGCCAAAGUAUUUGGUUUAGGAUUUGUUCUUAUCCUUUAGAGAAGAUCUCUUGGCUGGAUAAAUAUAACGGAUUCUUUUAUUCGUAAUCAAGAUCGUUUGAAGAUCCGAUGGUCGACGAAAUAUUCUUGGAAGGUUCUAUUCUUGGAAACCAAGAUCCUGAUUGUAUGGGCGAACAUGAUUGAUGGGCUAUCGUCAGGUUCCUUUAAUAGCUCGAAUGAUCUUCUUGAUUGAUUCCGUCCAACAGGUAGAUUGGAUGAAUUCCUUUGGUAAGUGCCAACGGAUAUGAUGGCCGAUGGCAUAAAGGAGUAUAAAAGGAAGACAUUCUAGUUGCUUUAGUGCAUGAUCGAUAGAGAAAUUCCAGAGUCUAAAGUACCUUGAUUAUUAGUCGAUACAUUCUGAGCAAAAUUGUACACACAGAGAGUGUCUAUACUUAGUGAUACCUUGAACGAGUGUGGUAGAUCAUCUACACCGAGAAAGCAAGGGAGAACAACACUGUAACAUCUCUUUGUUCAUAGUGGAAUCCAGCCAAUAGGCUGUCAGUGCAGAAGAGUGGACGUAGGCUUGACAUAAGCCGAACCACUAUAAAUUGCGUGUUCAAUUUUCUCUUCUCUCAGUCUUACUUUGAUUAUCGUUUGUCUCAAAUCCAUCAACUGUCUAGUAUUGUGCAAUUAUCGAGAAAAAUCUUUUAUAUACCUAUUCACCCCCCUCUAGGUACUUAUACUAGCUAUAUCAGUCUUCGACCUUUUAUGGCUCAAGCAACGCGUGGAUGGGAGCUCACAAUUGGGUCUAAGUCUAGUUAAGAGUGGCCGUGUGUGAUGCAAGUUUCUACCAAAAGGCCUCAGGUCAAGUCAAGAUACGUGAUGCAAGUUUCUACCAAAAGGCCUUGGGUCAAGUCAAGAUAGGGACUCGUGCUCCAUCCCCAAAUAUAAUUAAUUUGAUGACAUAAUGAUUGGGAUGAGCGAUUUUAGAUUUCUUACAAAUUGAGAAUUUAAAAUCUACUUUGUCACAAGUCUCAAGAUUAAUUUUAGGGUCUAACAAGUUCAUUUUUUUGCCUUAACUUUUUUAUCACAUGCAUUGAUGUUAUUUUCUUAAGGGGAAAAAAACGCGAUUAGAACUUACGGGCAACAUGUGAAUUUAUGGCUAUGAAUUGAAUUUAUUCUUGUUUACAUUCAAUCAUCGAUUGAUAGGUGACUUUUCUCUCCUUAACACUAUGGUUCAAACAUAUUCCAAGUAUGGUGAUGAAUAUAAUGUCUAAUGGCUAAUAUACAUCGCCUUAAAAACAAUGUCAUUGUUCAUUACCAAAAGUAAAUCUACCUUAUUUAUAUAUUGACUUGAUUUUCUUCGUAACAAACACAAGCACAUAUCAAUUAUUCUAUUUUUAAUACUAGUAACUCCAUAAUGUUUCGUGUAGGUAUCCGAAGGAUGCACAGGUAAAGGAGACUCAUGUUCAAUACCUUAUUGAUUUAUCAAUCGAAGUCACUUUUGAUUGAAUGGAAAGAGAUGGGGAGUCCAAACCUUGAAAUUAACACAAGGAUUCAAAAAAACAAUUUACACAAAGAUCAUAGAACUGUUUUCUUCUCUCUCUCUCUUUUUUUUUUGCAAUUUUUAAAACAACAUUCCCUAAUUUUCCUAAGUCUAUAUUGCCCUUCUAAAUAUAAAGGAUUAUUUUCACCCAAACGCAGCUGGUGAAAGAAAAAUUCAAACACAAGCAAUGAGUGACACAAGUAUCUUUAUAGACAGUUAUAAGGGAUCAAAGACUAUUCAUAGAAAGUAUUAGAACCACAAGUUAACAUUCAAAUAAUAUGACAAAAUUUAGUCAAGAAAACAUCUGUUGAUAUAAUACAAAAAAAAAAAUAAAAGGAAAUCUUUCAGACAAGAUAUCGUCAUUAUAAAAGGAAAUAACAUCAAAUAUAAAUCCGAUUCGAUUCCAGGUGUUGGUUCUUGGUGAGGACCGGCGGUUCUUGAGAAAAUGGAACCGGAAAUCAGACCGGAAUACAUUGAAAUUUGAAACCCAACCGGUGCUCCCUGAUUUUUAUCAUGAAACCAUGUUCACCCUAAAGAUCUCCGCCUCUACUGAAGAGUCGAGAGCACCAUCGACGGCGCACCAAAUCGAAGGGUCCACCCCCAAAAUCUUGUAGGUGGCCCAUCGCCGUCCACACAACAUCCCCUCGGCCAGCAACAGUCCCCGCCGAAGCUCAGCAAUGGCUGCUCUCUCUCUCCUCAGCUAACUGCAAAAUUCUCUCUCUUUCUCUCUCUAGCCCAUCAGCAAUGGCCUUCCCUCUUCACUGCCCUCCCCCCUCUCCUCCCCUCAGAAUCUCUUCCCCUCCCGCCGCCGCCGCCGCCGUGCCGAACCCAUGUCCCAAUCUCUCCUCCCUGGCCCCUCCCCGCCUCUGCCUCCCCCGCCACCGGCGGCGCCGGCGGAGGCCGGGCUCCCUCCGGUGCUCGGCCUCCUCCUCGUCCCCGGAGAACCGCCGCGCCGGCCCCGCGUCCUCCUCCGACGCCGCCGAGCUCCCGCUCUUCCCCCUCCCCCUCGUCCUCUUCCCCGGCGCGGUCCUCCCCCUCCAGAUCUUCGAGUUCCGGUACCGGAUGAUGAUGCACACGCUCCUCCAGACCGACCUCCGCUUCGGCGUCGUGUACGCCGACUCCGCCUCCGGCACCGCGGACGUCGGCUGCGUCGGCGAGGUCGUCAAGCACGAGCGCCUCGCCGACGACCGGUUCUUCCUCAUCUGCAAGGGGCAGGAGCGGUUCCGGGUCACGGGCAUCGUCCGCACGAGGCCCUACCUGGUCGCCCGGGUCGAUUGGCUCGAGGACAGGCCGUCUAGCGACGGGGGCGACGACCUCGAGUCGCUGGCCGGCGAAGUGGAGGCGUACAUGAAGGACGUGAUCAGGCUGUCGAAUCGAUUGAACGGGAAGGGAGAGAAGGAGGUGCAGGACCUUAGGAAGAAUCAGUUCCCGACGCCGUUCUCGUUCUUCGUCGGGAGCACGUUCGAGGGCGCUCCUAGGGAGCAGCAGGCGUUGCUCGAGCUGGAGGAUACCGCUGCGAGGCUGAGGAGGGAGAAGGAGACGUUGAGGAACACGCUCAAUUACUUGACCGCUGCUUCCGCGGUGAAGGAUGUGUUCCCAUCUUCGUGAUCGAUUCCAGAGGUUGGUUUCGAUUUAGCUUUACAAUUGUUAUAUAGAUUUCCUUUUUGUUGGAAACGAUUGGAGAUUGGUCAUUACAAAAUGUUGACUGGGUGGCAAUGGAAUUUGUACUUGUUGCUUGGGGUGAUUGGCUUAUUCUGAGGGUAGAAUUCGGAUUGAAUGCGGAAGUGAAGCAGGGUCCUUGAAUUGGAAGAUAUAUGCUUACUCGUACAUAUGUUGAGCAUGGUCUACAUUUGGCAUGCUGAAUGUUUAGGAAAGAAGUGCAGUUUCAUGCCUAGUAGAACAUGCCUUGCUCUGCUAUCAAUUGGAUUGGCAUUGAAAUAGUAAAAAUGUAAAAUGGUAAAAAUCCCAUUUUCUAAUUUUUGCCGAGCUGAAUAUGGAUUGUUGAGUUUGAAUUGAAAAUGUAAAGCUUCCGUGAAAAAAGUAGAGAAACAAACAUGUUAUAAAUUUUCCAUCUAGAAUCUAGUUGUGAAUGAGCAUUCAGCUUGUAGGUGGAUGAUUAAGGCAUCACCUUCUCUGUUUCUACUGGCUUAUUCUCAUCUUCUAUCUAGCCCUGAAAAAAGAGGGACUUUGGUCACUUGAUCUUCCUCUUACUUGUUCGAAAUGCACUAUGUUUACUGCCUAUCCCCAUGUUCUCUGAUGUUUGAAAUGCAUAUUUAACCAUUUGUCAAAACUGAUUAUUUGAAGUGAAUCCUCUUAAGUGAAUGCUAGUUGGAGCAGAUGGAUGCUAGACCUUGUACUUGGCUCACUUCUUAAAUAGCUCAGCAGAUCAAUUAGGGACCUAAGUUAGCUUUCUGAGAAUUUUUCAUCCAUACGCGGGGGGUGAUCUUUAUGUUUUCCAUCUACUGAAAUAUUUUGUUUGCAGAAGGGCCUGUGAAAUUGCAUUUUGCUCCGAGUUAAUGGUAAGGUUGACUGUAAAAAAUUUCAUCAUCUGAGGUUGGCAAAAUGAAAAUAGCCCGACUUUGGUGGUGUUAGCAUUCAGAAGCACAGUUUUCUCCAUCGACCUUUGUUUACUUUUUCCAAAUUUUUUCAGCAUAACAUCUUGAGGAGAUUGUGGUGGGAUUCUAGCUAUGUUGUAUCAAUCAUCAUUAUCGCCACCAUACAGUUUGUCUAUGAUCAGACUCCUUGUUCAAGGUAAGAGAUGGGGAUCCAAGAAAACUGACCGUCCUUUAUCUGGCAGUCCUACUCUUGAACAACAAAGUAAGCGCAGACAGAAGUUCAAGUUCAGAGAAGUGCAGGCCAAUAUAGCAAACCAUAGAGCUUCUCCAAUCUCAAGCGGGUUCUAAAGUAGCGGCAGAUCAUUGUUCUGAAUCCGGAUUAUUGCUGCUACUGAGUAAUGUCAUUGAACAUGAUCUGUGUAUGAUGAGAGCUCCUGCUGUAUAUGUUUCUGUUCUGCAUCAACAGUUGAAUUCUUCCUAGAGCUGAACUUCGAGAUGUCGAGGUGAUUAAAUCCAUUUAUUUUCGGUUGUUGGUAUACACAUGCGUCAGCUACCCUGCGGAUCCACUGUUUCUGCGAGUCAUGAUAUGAUCUAUCCAUGUUACUAGCCUAAAGUUAAUCAUGUGAUUAGGCAUUUUGUGAAUUUUUCUUAAUUUGAUGGAGUUGCUUGGGCAUCCCUUCGAAAGAACUGAGUGCUUCUUGUUUUGGCAACCGAGUGAGAGAAGCAACCGCCUUUUAGGUACUACUCAGUGAUGUGCGAAUCAUUCUCUGCACAACUCAAAGGUCGCUUUCGGCUAUUAUCCUUUAAAGUUAAGUUUCAAGGACCACAAUAAAUAACCGAAAAGGCAGUUUGAAUUUUUCCCCAAAAUGUAUGUGUGUGUAUACAUACACACACGUUUUAAAUAAUUUUUAUAUUCAAAUUGUUAAAAAAAGUGGGAUUUGCUUCCAAACAAAAAUAAUCAAGAAUUAUGAAAAGUAUUAUGGUGAUUCCAAACGGUAAAUUUUUUUUAGGGUGGUUGUUGUUAAGGAUACGUUUGAUUCCGGGAAUAAUUUCUGAUCAUAAAUGAUUUUUUUUUAAUUUUAUUUUUGGGAAUAAUUUUUAAGCAUUUUAAGUUGUUUGAUAACUGUCUAAAAUUUUAAUUUUCGGAAUAGAAUUGCGUUUGAUACCACUCUUAAAAUUCAAAUUAAUUUAUUUUAAUUUUUAAAUAAUUUUAUUACUUUUUUCAUUUUUUCUUCUUUUCAUUUUUUCCUUUCUUUCUCCUCCUCUUCUUCUUUAAGGUUGCUGGUUGUUGGCCUUGGGAUGACCGAUGACUAGUUAGAUGAGGGUCGGCGACCCUACCCUCAACGAGGCCGUGCCUCGUCGACAGCUGGGUGAGGCCUGGUCGAGCCAUGGGUGGGCAAGGCUCGUUGGGGGAGGCUUGGGUGAGCCUCCGGCAAGUUCGCUAGACCUCACCCUGGCCUAGUGAACCUCUGAUGAGCUUGCUGGGCCUCAUCCGACUGAUCGCCGAUGAUCGGCGGCGGUGGGUGGCGACGGUGGAUGGCAAUUGAAGAAGAAGAAAGAGAGAAGAAGAAUAAGAAAAAAGAAAAUAAAAAGAGAGAAAAUAGGUUAGUUGAUUCUAGAAUUGUUCUUGAGAAUAAAGAAUCAACUUUUUUUAACUUAUCAAUUCUGUUCCAAAUCUACUUUCAGAAACAAAAACAUAGAUUUUUGUUCCCCAAAACAAAAAUUUUACCAAACGAAUUUUUAUUCUAAAUCUAUUUCCGGAAAUAAAAGAAUGUAAAUUAUUACAAUUUGGCAAGUUGCCAAACAUACCCUAAAUGAAAAACUUUUCUUACCCCAAAAUAUAAAUGGAACGUCAAAUCUAUUUGGUCUGAUUUAGUUUUAAUUACGAGUUGUUAGCUUUCCAAUCGAAGGAACAUUUUUCUAAUAAUAAAAGACUAUAUAAAAGAGAUUCUCAAUUAUUUUGAGAGGUCCUGGUUUUUUAUUUUAAGUGUAUAGUAUUAGGUAAAAAUUAAACAUCAAAUGUAAAACGGUGAAAAACACUUCAAAUGGAGAGAGGAGUAACACUUUGUCCGGACCAAAUAACGUCGAAACUUUGAACUUCUGUUUUGGAAAAUUUGGUAUUCCCGGGGAGUGGAAUGAGAAUAGAAAGAAAAGUGGGGUGGAGAAAUGAAAUACCGUGUUUGAGAGGGCCUAGGAAUAAAAAUAAUUAAGUGAAGAUUUGGGAUGCUGAAAUAAGCACUUGGGUCCCACCACUUUUGUCAACCUCAUAAAUAAUACGAUAAACAAAGUUUAGCGCCACCGAUAUCUUUGGGCUUGAUACUCAAAAAAAUUUAUUGUUAAUUAAGAAACCCAGGGAUUCGUGGGCCAAUUGUUGAUUUCCACAACUAACCUCUUAAUCCUCCAAAUUUUGCACCUUCUUUCAUUGUCUUCUUCUCGCGCACGGCAGUAAAUAGACCACUAUAAUAAACACAGAUUUUCCUGAAGUUUGUUUAAUGAGGUGAGAUUAUUUAUUUAAAGCAUCUUAUGCAUAGGCACAAUAAGGUCAUUUAACAAAUAAAUAUAUUCUUUCCCCUCAAUUUUUUUCUCCUUCCAAACAAAUCAAUUUUCGACUCGUCAAUCUUUUCAUCCCCAAUCUUUGCUAUUCCAAACAACAUUGAGGAGAAUUUCCCUUCACCAUCAACUUUUUGCUUUCGAAUAAAGUGUAAAGGAUCAAAAUCUAUGCUUAGUUGGUACUGGUGAUAUCAUUAUUCAGUUUGGAGCGAGCGGUUUGAUGACCGCAAUCCUAAAAAGGUCGGAAACGGGCAUUGGCCCAUUGAUGUUUUGGGCCAAGUUUUCAUAAAGAACAUGUAGAAGCCGCACUAUUUCACUAUAAAAAUAUUUGUCGGACGAGUUAUUAUGUUGUUGUUUACGUUGAAGAGCUUGAUAUAAUUUUUUGAUGGGAGCGAAACUGUUUCUUCCAAAGGAGAUUUCAAAAACAAAUGCAAAAGGUUCCCAGAUAGAACCGGCUGUUCCGACCUUGGUAUGGGGGAACCUGACCGAUCCUAUCAAGAACCGGCCUUGAGCCGGACUCGAACCGGACCGAACCGAUCCCGGUGCUCACCCCUAAGGGAGGAAAACCCACCAAGGCCCAUUCGUUCUCGAAAAUUCGGACACUUUAUCAGGCCGGCCCAUGCAAUCAUCAACGAACAUCGGGCCUCCGUCUGCCAAGCAAUCCCGCCUAAAUCACAAACCCCCCCGCCAUCUCUCCCUCGCUCGUUCUCGUCCUCCGUUCUGCUUCAAGCCUGCUGCCGAUAAUGGCGUCCCUGGUUCAGUCCCCACCUCCCGUCCGCUGCAUUCCCUCCCCCGCCGCGUCGCUCUUCUUCGGCCGUUCCCUCCCCGUCAGGUAACUCCCCUCUCUCGAAUCCCUCCCUCAGAGGGACCCCCGAGCUUCGUUCCCUGAUUCGACCUUCGCGCGCGCGCAGGUGCGGCCGGAGGGCGGAGGGAAGCGGUCCCUCGCGCCCCCUCGGGUACCGCUCGAUCGUGUGCGGCGGCGGUAGCGGCGGCAGGUUCGCUAGGGCCAAGGAACCGCCGGCGGCGGCGGCGGCGGCCCCGACCCCGGCCUCGCUGGCGCGGGAGCCUCACAAGUACUUCGACCAGGCGGUCGUCACCGUGCGGUCGGGGGACGGGGGCCACGGCGCGAUUCUCGGCAUGCCUGGCCAGGAGAGGGCCUCCGGCAAGACGCGCGAGAAGGAGAAGGCGAAGAGGCGUGGCUCGCUUAAGAGGGACUUCGACGGGUCGCUCGUGCUCCCGGUGGGCGGGCACGGGGGCGACGUGGUGAUCUACGCGGACGAGGCCAAGGAUUCGCUGCUGGAGUUUCACGGGAGGAGCCGGUACAACGCGAAGCGGGGCGGGAAUGUGGAUGCCAUGGGGGUUUUGACGUCUCAAUUGCACAAUGGGUUCGCUGCUCCUACUCUACGCAUUCCCGUGCCUGUAGGUCGGUGGAAUUGUUGAUUUAGGUUAAAUAGAGGAUUGCUUCUGGUCUCUUGAAGCAGAUACUAUUACUAUACAUUCUCUAGUGAACAAGUUUCAUGUCUUUUUCUGGUGUACUCCUGUGAUCCUAUCCCAGGAACAGUUGUCAAACGUAAACGAGGGAAGUUGUUGGCUGAUUUGGCAAAUCCGGGGGAUGAAGUUCUUGUCACAAGAGGUGGACAAGGCGGGGUGAGUCAAUUCAGUUAAAUAUAACUAGAUACGUCAAUUGGUGGUCGAAAGCAUCUGUGUGUUUCCUUCUAUAAAUGCUUUGGCAUGUUCCUGUUAAGUUAUUGCUUCUUUCUCCUUUCUUAACGUGGUUUACAUUUACAUUUUCCCAUAUGCAAUUUGAAUUGCGGCUGCUGAUACUAAAAGGUAGGAAUCUAAGCAAUUUGAAAAGUUGCGAAAUGUUAGUCGUCAUGAUCUUACACCCAUAGUAUGAGUACGAAUUCUGUUGAGCUUUCUAUUAAGCUGAUAUCUUUGUAAGUUGGCUUCUUACAUAAGUUGGUAUGUUGGCAGAUUAGCUUGUUAGAAAUGCCUGAACAUAGAAGGAAGAAAUUGAUGACACUGACGACCAAUGUCAUGAGAGAUGACAGUGAUAAGGUAUAAAUAAUGCCUCUCCAUCCUCAAGAUUGACUGCUGAUAAUCAUCUUGCAUUAAUAAUACUUGAGAUUCACAUGAACGUGUUUCUGUCAUUGAUUGUCUGAUAUUUUCUGACGGAGGCCGGUCCUUGAGUAGCACUGGCUUUCUUUUUUUCGAAUUUUUUUGUAUGAGAUCUUGAGGCUGACUUCAGCUUAUCUCCAUUAGCUGGACACUUUCUUACCCUACCAUUGAGUUGCAUUUGGUUUGGUAGACUGGCAUCUGGACGUGGGAAUGGCUUGUACUUGUGUUGAUACUGGAUUUCCAUGACUCUACAUUUUGUGCUUUAUUAACUGUGAAAUCUUCGUAACACUGAAGCUUGAAGCAUGCUGAAAAUAUAUGAGCUUAGGCAUGCUACUAUAUGCCAUAGAUCCGUGUUAAUGUCACCUAGAGACAUCAAGUGUUGAUAUUGUAUCGGUUCAUUAAAUUUCUUCCAAUAGAUCUCACCUAAUUGUAGUCUUUCUCCAAUGGAUCUUGUGAAAUUUUGCAGAAAUUUGAUUCCUUUUUUUACUUUCACGUGAUUCUGCUGGCAAGUCAUAUCAUUUUCUUCGUCCACAUUAUUUGUUUCUUUAUGUCCUGCUUUAUCAUUUUUAUCUAAUUUCAGGUUUUAGUUCUUGGUCAGCCUGGGGAAGAGGUUAGUUUGGAGUUGAUUCUACGUGUUGUGGCAGAUGUUGGUUUAGUGGUGAGUUUUACUCUUCCAUUGGGCAAAGCUAAUGAGAACAAAUUAAACUUGUAGUAAAAUCAUAAUUUCAGCUUCCAUUUUGGUGUUAGCCUUGUGGUUGUACUCUGAAGCUUUUAUUUGUAUAUUUUCUCUUCAUGCAGCCCCACCUAGCCCAGGCUAUGCAUCCCCCCUAGACCUAGGCCUCCACAUAACUUCCUUGGGACCGAGCCAGUAUUCAUUAUGGUCAUUGUUCGAGAGAUGGGAUCCUAAUAUCCCACCUCCCACAUAUCCAAAGGGGUGUGCAAACCACUAGACUAGGGCUGAAUCUGUGAUCUGUAGAUUUUUUGUUUAGACUUCUUUAUAUGGAACUGCGGAACCAUCCACCAGAGACAGAAAACUGAAGCCUAUCUUUUGAUUUGCACUUGUGUGUCCAGGUGCGUGCCUAUGUGAGUGACUACAUGGACUUGAACUUGAGAAGCACAUUAAUGGAAAACCCUUUUCAUCUGCAGUUUCCACCCAUUUAUGCUUUCAUCUGUUGUUCAUAUGGUUCGGUUGCUUUUACCUGGUUCAAUUAGAGACUUCGGUGGAAAUUGGUCUUACUUACAGCUUUCAAUCUUUAAAUCAUGGAUUUGCAGUCGGUACAAGAUACCUGAGCCACAAUGUUGAAUGUGUACCCUUGCAUUAUCACCCUCUCUCUCUCUCUCUCUCUCUUUUUGGCACAAAUCUUAUGAAAGCAUGAGUUUUUAUCAUACUUAAAGCAGCUGCACUUGACUUUGUAAUUGUGAGGAUAGAUGAUUUGAAUGACUAUUAAUUGCAGCCAUCAAUAUGUAUUUAAUGGACUGUAGUUGAGUUGACUCAAAUAUAAUAUAAAUGGAGAAGAAUAAAGAAGGGAUUUGAGUUUGACCUUCCUUCUAGGUUAGACAAGGUGGUAGGGGUUGGUGAGGCUAGACCCAGCGUUAGUGGCUUGGAAAGGGUCUCUGACAGCUGGGCCAACCCUAGAUCAUAGAAAAGAGCCUUUUGGUACAUGUUUACUAGCCUUUCAUGUUGAUGUAGCAUGUAUAUGGAGUCUGUAUCAGGUAUCGUUUUGCUAAAAAUUGUUUUGAUUAUGUAUAGGGUCUUCCAAAUGCUGGCAAAUCAACACUCUUGGCAGCCAUAACACGUGCAAAACCUGAUAUUGCUGAUUACCCAUUCACAACUUUGAUGCCGAACCUUGGGCGCCUUGAUGGUGACCCCAAUUUAGGGGCUGGGAAGUAUUCAUCUGAAGCUACAUUGGCAGAUUUGCCUGGUCUUAUAGAAGGGGCACACCUUGGGAAGGUAGUACUUUAUCUUCUUCAUAUUGUCAUGCGGUUUACUCUGGCCAUGAAUUUGCUAAUUUGAUCUUCUAUGUAGGGCCUUGGUCGCAACUUCUUAAGGCAUCUCAGGAGAACUCGGCUAUUAGUCCAUGUAGUUGAUGCAGCAGCUGAGGACCCGUUGAAUGACUACAGAACUGUGAAAGAGGUAGAUCUGAUUGAGCUUCUAUUCCAACAAGAGUUACCCAUCUCUUAAUUGUGGCCCAAAUUCUCUUUAUGAUCGACUUUGCAGGAAUUGCGGAUGUACAAUCCUGACUACCUGGAACGACCAUAUAUUGUGGUUUUAAAUAAAAUCGACCUUCCCGAGGUAUGAGGCUUUUUGUUUUAUGUCCUCUCUCACAUAAUGUCCUUUCUUCCUUGUUUUUGGGAUAUCCGAUCACUAGUUAUAAUCUGGUUUCUUAUAUAACAGGCUGGGGAUAGAGUUUCUUAUUUGACUCAAAAGAUACUAGAAAUUGGUUCUGAAAGGAAGCCACCUGAGUCAGAAAUGAGGUUUAGCUCUUCUGACAGUCAAAACGAGGAAAGUCUUUCUUCAAAUGUUUCUGAUGUCAGAAGGGAUAAAGAAAUUGAGGACUAUCCAGCCCCUCUUGCUGUUGUAGCCGUCAGUGUCCUGUAAGACCAGUUCUCAUUCUCAUUUCUCUUCAUUGAAUCUGUAUGGUUUGGGGGCUGUGGCUUCUCUUAGAGUUAGUCUUAGAUUCUUAAAUUUCUGUAUCCUCCUGCCCAAAUUUAGUAAUUCCUGUGCUAUUUGUCUGGAGUUCUUUUAGCAUUUACAAGCAUACAUGCACAGUUCUAUAAUGUAAUCCUAAAUUUUAACUAACUAAUGUAAACAUGUGCUUGUGUUCACAAACACAUUGUGCGCAUGCAUGUGCACACACACAUUCAUGGAGUUUUCAUUUUAUUGAAGAAAGAAGCCUUGGUUGCAAUGUAAAUGUGGGUCAUCAUAGAUUUUGUUUCAUUGUAACUUGUUGAGUGCAGACUGCAAUAGGGUAGGCUGAAAAUAUAUUUAGUCAAAUUUGGAACUUUACUUGCGAUACUGUGGGGUGUUUCUUUCACUCUAGCCUUUGGUCAACACCCCCUUUUAAUGAUUAUCACAAAUGGUAAUUUUUUUUUAUUUCUGCGAUAACUAUGCCAAAAGUAGUUAAUCUUUCACCAGAUAUGAGGUGGAAAUUCUUGUUGGCUACUGUUGUUCAGCAUCCUGGGCUAAAAUGUCCUUUUUGGCUCGCUUGAUUAUCCAAUUUCUCUGUGGAUGUAUUGGAAGUUUUUACCCCAUUCAUAGAUUUUGUUUCAGUGUAACAUGUUGAGUGCAGACUGCAAUAGAGUAGGCUGAAAAUAUAUUUAGUCAAAUUUGGAAGUUUACUUGCAAUAUUGUGGGGUGUGUCUUUCACUCUAGCUUUUGGUCAACCCCCUUUAAUGAUUAUCAUGAACUUUCUUUCAAGCUUCUAAUAGUAACUUUUCGAUUUUUUAUUUCUGUGAUGAAUAUGCUAAAAGUAGUUAACCUUUUACCAGAUAUGAGGUGGAAUUUCUUGUUGGGUACUGUUGUUAAGCAACCUGGGCUAAAAUGAACUUUUUGGCUUGCUUGAUUACCCUAUUUCUCUGUGGAUGUAUUGGAAGUUUUUACCCUGUUCAUAUGAGUUACACAACGAUUCUGUUAUUCAUAAUCCCCUUCUGCUUCCCUUAUGUGGUCAUAUUGAAGUUAUGAUUCACUGAAUUUAGCAGUAGUCUAGUAGGUCUCCUGUACUCCGCUUGGAAGCUAGAGAAAGGAGAGGGGAUGAAAAUUGGGGUGGAAAAACUUUAAAUGUUAUAAAAUUUUCCACCCUGAUUUUCCCCCCCACCGCAACUUCCCAAAUAAAGCCUUAGCUUUACAAACAUAGUGUCAAUCUAUGCAAGUGAACAGGCAUAGACGGAGGUCUGUUUGUACAUGGAUAAGAGUGAGAUUACUGAAAUAGAGACAUAUUUUUAACUCAAGGCUCUUCUUGCAUUGCGGUUGUGUUAUAGUCUCAUAACACCUGUGCUUUAAUGCAGACACAAUUGAAGUGUGAAACUUUAAAGUUAUGAUUGAAUAGUUUUCUCUAUGACAGACAUCUUCUUUCUUGGUCUUUCAGUCAUGUGGGACUGCUUGUUUAGUAUGUUGAUGAAUUUUGGCAUGCAGCUUUAGAAUGUCUCCCUGAGAAAAAUGAAACUCGUCUUUAUGUUUUCUUUAGAGGUGCGUUUGUUUUCUCAUCUUGAUGGUCACCACAAAAUAAACUUAACUUGUUUAUGUCUUUGCUUUUGCUUUUUUAUUUUUAUGACAUUCCCAUGCUCGUGUCCCAAAAUUUAAUUUGCAAGGUAUCACCUUUUCAAUUCCUUAGAAGAUUUUCUUCCAACAGCUGAAAUUGUUGUCCUUCUGUUGGUUGAUGCAGCAAAGGCAUCAGAAUAAAUGAGAUGCUGAAUGAGAUAAGAGCAGCUUUAAGGAAGUGCAAGGAACAAAAUGAACCCUUGGAACUAGCUUUGAGAUCAUAAUGGUAAAGGGGUUGCUAAUCCUAGAGGUGUUUCUUGAACCGUGUUUUGAGCUAGAAUGCAUUAAGGUGGUAGGCUUUUUUGGCCAUCUGUACCUGCAGACGCGGGAAAAUUGGAAUGCCACAUCUAGCAAUGACCGACCCAGACAUGGCUCAAAGAAAAUCAGGUGCUUGCUGUCACCCUUAUAUAGUUCCUAGUAUAUAUCUGUAUAUUUGUAAGUCAAAAUGCGAGCUAUCUCUCUAAUCUUCUUGUAGUCAAUGCAGAUCUGAUUUUGUCGUGACAUUAUCGUUGCAAUAUGUCUAAUCAUGUCUUACCAUUUCUGUUGAGUUUAAUAAAUGCAUUUACCUAGUCCGUGGAAUCAACAGACUGGUGUGUCUUGCUAAACAUGGCACUAAAGACAUCCUUACCUACGUAAACUCAGAAUUAGAUUGUGGAUUCUGGCAUUUAUGAAAUCUCAUGCAUGGGGUUCGGCAAAUGUCAAUGCAUGCAGGGAAUGGUUCCGUCCGUUGUCGCUGGCUCGAGACGUGUCACGGGACGCGAUUUUAGAUCGGUUGCGAUCUUGAGGUGUUUUUCGUCAAUCGACAGUGGCAGACGGUGGUUGAGGAAUUUAUUUCUCAUCGCGUCAACGAUGCCGUCACCCCGACGAAUGAGGCGGUAACUCCAGUUUUAUCUUUUCUUGACUUAUCUAGCGUCUAGCAUCCUCCUUCAAUCGGUUUUUAUCUCUGUAAAAAUUUAUACCCGGCUCACUUUAUAGUAUGCUCAUCAGUAACUUGAACUAGCUUAUCUGUAUCUUGUGCUUAAUUUUCUUCUGCAUUGAAGUGUUCUGACUGGAAGAGAGAUUGAGAAUGCACUGUACUCUGCCUUGCUCUAGUUUUUUCCUCCUUUGGAAUUAGUUACAUAACUGUGCAAAAGGGGCAAAUGCGGUGAAUUCGGCCUUUGAAAUAUGUUGUGAUUAUGACAAAAAAGAAUAUAUAUGUGUGUGUGUAUAUAUAUAUAUAUAUAUAUAUAUAUUGUAAUUAAUUAAUGGUUCGAUGUGAAGGGGAUCUUCCUCGGAAGUCUCCCUCUAUUUUGUGGGCCCCCCACGCCUAGGAGAAACUGCGCGGACAGGACCACCCUUGCGGGGCAAAAGGCACUAUGAUAUCCAGAGGUUGUCACGCAUUUCCAGGUUCUUCAAGCUUCCCGGUCUUUGGUGAAAUGUUACGUGCGCCCCCACGUAUUUAGGGAUCACUACAAAACUUUUGUCAUAAGCAUAAUCUCUUCUCUUUUUCAUUUUUCUUUUUUAUAUCCUGGGAACUCCCGCACGGGCUUAUCUUAUAACCGUCGUUUCUUUUGAGCAACUCCAACCCCGAAGAUAAAUGACGAUUGUCCUAUCCCUCCCCGCGGGAAAGAGAGAAGGAAAAAAAGGCGAAAAGGAAAAUGAAAAUGAGCAAAUUCGGAAUUUGCUUCUCUGUUCUUGCCCACCCGGGCCAAGUGUGCUUAGACCACAUGAACAGAGGACCCUCCUUCUUGACACGACCAAUCUGUUCCUGAUGCCAAGUAUCUUCUGCCGUGUCACUGCGCAGACACGUUACGGUUGUUGGUGCUAAUCUGCUCCUCGCCCCCGGGCUUUCGUCUUACCUGGCAAGUACAUAAAUAGGCGCUCGCCCUUCGAGCCGUGAGCUUUACUGCCUAAGUCCCUCUCGGUCUCUGCCCCACCGUCUGGUCCUUUUCCUUGGGUGUUGGGGAAGGGUGUCUUGGUGCGUUUUUCCCUUCUUUGUUUUUCGCUCUCGAGAGAGGGAGAGAGAAUGUUGAAGCCUGGGGUGGGAGAGCGAAAGCAGGGCCGGAAGCCCGCCCAGGCGAGCUCCAGGAAGGGGUGCAUGAGAGGCAAAGGCGGUCCUGAGAACGCUUCUUGCUCCUACAAGGGGGUGCGGCAGAGGACGUGGGGCAAGUGGGUCGCCGAGAUCCGGGAGCCCAACCGUGGGGCCCGACUUUGGCUCGGGACCUUUGACACGUCCCAUGAUGCUGCAGUUGCCUAUGACGCGGCUGCCCGGAAGCUGUACGGGUUGGAGGCGAAGCUGAACCUGCCCGAGCUGUAUGCCGCUGCGCCUACCACCAAUCUGCAGCCUCCUGCCCCAGCUCCAACUAUCGCUAAUCAAGCUGUUCAUCCCCUGGGAAACCAAGCUCAAAUCUUUCAUAACUUGGUCCUCAAUCCACCAAGCGCGCCCCCUGUUCCCGUGACCCAAGCCAUGCCCAUCUCUAACGAUGGCCUUCAGGCUCAAGGUAAUGAUCCAGUCGAUCCAGUCCCCGACAACCUCAAAUUCGGACAGAACAUCGAGGAAAAUGACCUGUGGGGGAACCUGAACGUGAACUUGCCGUUCUUGGACGAGUCAAUAUGGGAAGAGGCCGCAAUGUCCGUGGACUUUCCUGUUCUGGAGGAUCCUGUCAACUUCGCAGGGAAUUUCCUAGAUGGCAACCCCUGGGAGUCUUCUUUACCGUCCCCUUGGUGCGUGUGAAAAAGAGAAAAAGGCCUUCGGGUCGUCAAUACAUAGACAUAUAUCGUCAUAUAUGUGUGCAUAUACUAUUGUAUGAAAAGUCUAUAUAAGAAUGUAUAGGAAAACAUAUGUAGAUAUAUAGAAGCAUGCAUGGUGACGGCCACGAAAAGACCCCGAUAUUUCUAAGCUUCUGCCUUAGCCACUUUACAUGUAAAUAAUAAUCAAUUCACGUGUCCCCAAGGCGUUAAAUUAUGUAUUUCCAUAGGCAUCUUAUAUUGCACAUAAUGGAAGUCCGCAUCGUAUAUUUCAUCAGCAUUAGUGUGCGUUUGCAGGUAUUUUCUUAACUGUAAAUAAAUAAGCGUACCGUGUCAUCCCCACAAAUACAUACGUAUAUAUAUGUAUUUAUAUGUGCAUGUCGUGUUCAUGUAUAUAUAUACGUACGGUUGUAAAUGGUGGAGAUACUAGUCGUUUCUGCGUAGAUGAUUGUGGGAUACCGUGCGUCUUGCGUCAGCUGCAAAAUAAUUUGGACAAAUUCCUCCUUUGUCAUUUUCGCAGGCUUUGAUCUCACUUUCAUAAUUGUUUGAAUCCAUGGACGCGUAACUUACACGGCUUUAUAUAUAUGUAAUAUGAUAAGAAAUUGAGAUAAUACAAGUUACGAACCUCGCAGCCAAAACUCUGGAGAGAUAUCAUGGACUGGAAGAGUGAAAAAAAUAGAAGACAAGCUUGCACAAAGUCAGAAAUCAUUUAACACCUUGAGAUGGUCUGGUCUCUAAGUUAGUAUUUAUAAAUUAGAAAAUAAGGGCGUUACGUAAGUUUUUCGUAUCGCGACGUUGUUUCUAUCUCCCCCUUCCUCGACUUCCGAAAGCAAUAUAUUGAGGUCUUUUGACUUCUUUUAGGUAUCGACUUUUGGGUCAAAACUUUAAAAAGCAACUGUUUAGAUUAGAAAAAAAAGAAUAAUAAGAAUUGCAUAAGAGUAUGUCUCAAUAUAGCCAUAUGUCUACAUUUGUACGGUUCAAAAGCUCUAAGGUGUUUAAGGAAAAAAAAAAUGAAAACAAAACUUAGUGUUUUGAUGUACUGUGAAAUUUCUGAAUCGAGAUGGAAGCUCGAAGGAAAGCUCUUCUUUCCAUCAACUUCUCAUUCUUUGCUAGACGAAUUCGAUGUCCGUGUCCGUGCUUUGAUGGGUCUUCAUGAUGCUGUUAUCCCAGUGACUUAUGUCAUGUUGGAUGAGUGAAAUCUAACUUAAUUCGAGUCUAAUGCAUUUGUGCCAAUUCAGUUUUAAACUUUUUAAUUUGGUUAAUUUAGUCUGAAAUAUUUUUACGAUUUGCCAAUAUAGUCAUUUCAGCCAAUUUAGGCUGGAGGUCGUUGAUAUGGAUACCAACGUCUUAUAUGACACAAUUAGCGAAUUUAGGCUGGAGGUCGUUGAUAUGGAUACCAACGUCUUAUAUGACACAAUUAGCGCUGAUGUAGAUAAUUUUGAUAAUUUUAUAGCUUUUAUUUUAUUUUUUCUUUUUCUUUAUUUUUCUUCUAAGCCCGUGAGUGAAGUAGUUAAUGGAGAGGUUACCAUUAUCCUUUUUGAAGUGAUGGAUAUUGUACGUGUUCCUAAGAAAUGAAAAGGAAUUUGUCCAUUUUUAAGUGCUAUUGAACACGGAGUCAGAAGUGAAUUAUGAGUCGGAACAAUUUGCGAAAAUAGAUUACACUUACGAAGUUGUUCCAACUUAUUAAUUGGCACUGACCCUAGAUCCUUGCCCUAAGAAAUGAAUCAAUGCUUUCUACUCGAGCUACAUCACAUACUAUUUACACUACAACCCAAGAAAAAAUGAGGUUUUGAGUGGAACGGAACAAAGAAUGUCGAGCCAAGAGCAUCUUCAUUCCUAUAUAAUAAAAAGGGUGGGUGGAAGAAUCCACAACUGAUCAUGUCCUUCAAGUCGCACGUUGCUUUCUACCACAUUGUUUCAAGUGAAGUUUUACCAUAACAUUCCUCUAGUUUGGAACUGAUAUGUGAUUGAUUCAAUUAGGGAAUCAUGAAUAGUCAUUUGUUCGGUCGUUCCAUUGAAAGAGCUCUAGUAAAGGAACCAACCUUCAAUCCAGGUAUAUAAGCACAUAUUGAUAUUUUGUUCCAAAAAUCGUAAGAAAAAAAAUUGGGGAAGAAGAAAAUAUAUAUUUUUAUUUGAUAUAUUCGCUCAUUUAAUUUUGAACAACUUUAUCAUAUUCUGUUUAUCACACUAAUUUCUACUCUACCUUCCUGGAGUUCAUUCUCCAAUGAACUCCAUUUAACAUAUUUUGACAAAUUCCUCACAAAUUCCUUUUUUAUUUUAUGAUUUGAUCUCAUUAGAAAUUAUAUAAAGACAAUUCCUAUUUAAUGUAGCUAUUUGUGCAAGUAUUUUACGAUUAAGAAGCAACUAUCUCUUGUACAGAUUGUGUAUUAAUUUACUUUAACGAUAGGAUACUCUAUUCUUGCUAAUUACUGCAUUUAUUGGAGUGAUCCACAAACGACAAUUUUUUUUUUCUAUCUCUAUCUCGAUGAGACGAAACCAAAGAUCUUAUUUUUUGUGGAAUAAUUGUUCAAGUAAGUCUUGAAUGAGCCCCUCGAAAGCUUGAUGCAAAUAAACGAAUUUUUCUUCUACAUCUCUGAGUUAUAUAUCCUUGUCUAAUUCUAGUCAUUGAAUAAAUGAAACUUUCAUUAAUACCUAAUUGAUUUGCUUUCUUUCGGUUAUUCUCUUCCUAGUUCCUUUUUUACAUGAGUAAUUGAGCGUGAGAGUCAAAUGAAUUGAAAGAUUCAUGUUUGGUUCAGGAAGGGAGUAUGGAAGUUUUGAAAUGAAUGGAAAGAUAAUCUACUUUCAUUAAGCGAUUUAUUAGAUAAUCAAAAACAGAGGAUCUUGAAUACUAUUCAAAAUUCAAAAGAAUUACACGGCGGGGCCAUUGAAUAACUGGAAAAAGCCCAGGCCUAUUUACGGAAAGUGGAAAUGGAAGUGAAGUAGUUUUGAGUGAAUAGAUACUCUAAUAGAACAAGAAAAGUAUGAUUAAUUCAACUUAUAAGACCUUGGGACAAUUAGAAAAUUACAAAAACAAAAUUAUUCAUUUGAACAGCAAAGAGCGAUUAAUCAAGUCCGACAACAGGUUUUCCAAGAAGCCUUACAAGCAGCUCUAGAAACUCUAAAUAGUUGUUUGAUUAUCAAAUAUUGAAAAACAUAAUGUGAUACAAUGAGAUAGAAUGCAAUAGAAACAAAGGCACAUGGAACAAACUGGUUACCUACUCUUAACAAUCAACGAACCUUUUCAUUUUGAAUCCUUUAAUUCGAAAUGAGAAAGAAAACUAUUCGACCUCAGCUAGAUCGGUAUCGGUACCCACCUCAAGGGAAAGAGGAGGAUCCUUAUGCUCAGUAAAAAAUAUAUCCCUAUAAGAAAACUCCAUCUAGUUAGACAUUAUCUUUGGCCCUCUAAGGGAACUAUCUAUUAGGGUGUCAAGAACCGAACCGAACCGAAAACUGAACCGAAUUGAACCGAAAAAAUCGGUUUUUUCGAUUCGGUUCGGUUUUCGGUUCGGUUCCCGUUAAAAACCGAAAUAUCUUUUAUCGGUUCGGUUUUUAUCGGUUAACCGAACCGAACCAAACCAUGAACCGAUAAAAUCUCUUUUAUCGGUUCGGUUUAUUCUCUCCCGUCCCGUCGGUCCCGACUCUAGGUUUUAUUCUGUCUCAACUCUGGCCCUCUCCUCUCGUCUCGUGUCUCCUCUUGGUCGGCUUGGAGGUGCAACGGCGACGGCGGCAGGGACGGCGACUGCAACGGCGACGGCGGUAGGGACGGCGACUGCGACGGCGACGGCGGUAGGGACGGCGACUGCGACAGCGACGGCAACCGAUUGAGGGACAGAGCCCCUCUUCCUUCUGCGACGGCGCGCGCUCUGCUUUGGACCGGGGGGCGGCCAAAGUCUCUCCUUCGUCACUUUACACGCUGUUUGGCUAAGACCAAACAAAGAUCUCCUCCUCCUCGUCUUCUGCUACCUUGGGAAACCGCAGCGCAACCCCCCUCCCUCUCUUUCUCUCGUAAAGGUGACUGCUUUUCUCUCGAAUCUUGGUUGAUGGUGAUUCUCGCGUGCAAUUCGUGCGCAUCGGGUGUGUCAGAGGGUCGUCAAAUUGAUGAAUUUUGUGGGUGGAGUUCAGCUUGACAUUCAGCUGGACUGAUCGGAUGAACUGGGCUCUACUUUCGUUUUGUAAAAAUUGCUUUUUGUCCCCUGGGCGGGGAGUUGAUUUUGGAAUUAACUCCAAUGCGAUGGCAAGUUCUCUUUGAAUUCGCUCCCUCUCUCAGCCCCGUUGUCUUAAGUGAGGGUGAGGUGACAUAGCGGGUGGUAUUCCAACAUUGAAUGCUUGGAUAGACCUAUCUACCCAAAAUUCCUGAGAAGAUAUGAUGUUUUCAUGUUUCCUUGCACAGCUUAUUAGGGUCGGUGCAAAGGGUAGUAAAGGCUCUCUUUCUGUUUUGCAAGUCCCAAAUUGCAUUCUGGACGAGAGUAGAAGCUAAUUUGUGACGAUCGAAAGUUUGAUUAUGCUUCUUCUGAUUUAUAUAAUGAUUCUGAACUGUUGUUUAAUGUGUCAUUAGGGAUUCAAACUGAUUCUGAGUUUUCAUUUGUAGUGCUCAUUGGAUAACAGAUCUCAAGGAAUACAUCCCUCUCUGUGUGAUUGAGGGGAAUGCUUGUUAACUUCUUUCACACGAUGUGUAUGGAGAAAAUCCAUCAUGGCAGAGCAUCGAGUAUUAACAAUAAGCUCAAGUAAAUAAAGAAACAAUUGAAAAAGCAGUUGUUUUAUAAUUUUUUCUAAAGAAAUGACUGGGAUGAGAGAAGUUAGGUCUGAACUUUGGAUAUAUGUUAGCCUUUCUUUCUGCUAUUCUUAUGUGUCUCCAUUAUAGCGAGUUGUGGCUAUGGUAAUUGGUGCACUAGCUUCUCCGGAUCAUGUAUUUACUUACCUCGUUGGCUCUUCCUAAUACAGUUUUGCUUUUGAUCUGAAUUUUGCAGCUUGAGAGUAUUUGCAUUUGCAGGGGUUAUUGGAGUCUUCAUCCUUCUUCCAGUGAACUGCACUGGUGAUCAGCUUGAGGAUAUUGACUUUGUUGAUUUUUCAAACAACUCACUGGAUGUAUUUACAAUAUCAAAUGUAAAUAAUGGAUCAAACAGGUAUGUUCUUUGUUUUUUUUUUUUUUUUUGCUCAUCUGUUUUUUGUUAAUUUCUAUGACUGUUGGCAGGGAAGAAUGAGUAGUAUAUAUGUUCGUAUCCUUAUAUAACUUUGACCAAAGUUGAAUGAUUUGUGAGAAGGUUUAUAUGUUACCAUUCUAUCAGUCAUUUACAAAGCAUUAACUCUUCCUACAGCCUCGAACCUGAUAAAUUGCCUUUUUCUAUGACAAUGGAAGCUUGAACGAUCUCUUUCUCUUUGUUGAAGAGAAGUCAUCUCGCUUCUCAUGAUGUGAUAAUUUCAGGAGAGUGAAAGGGCUGUAACAAGGGAAGAAGGAAGAGAUCUAGCUCAAAGACAUAGAUGUUCGUUUCUUGAAUAUAGCACAAAAACUAGAGAGAACAUCAAUCAAUGCUUCAGGAGCUUAUAUAGAAGGUAAGCCGUCCCGGAAAAAAAAAAAAAAAAAAAAAAAACCGAAAACCGAAAACCGAAACCCAAAAUUUGAAAACCGAAAAACCGAACCGAACCGAACCGUUUACACCCCUACUAUCUAUAUCCCUACUAAAGACUAUUAUCAUUGUUAGCAUUACCAUCCUAAUACGCCCAAUGCCAGAUAGCACAAGUUAGAAAACACAAUAUGUGUACCAGCCACGCCUUCGUAACUCCAAAUACCCGGAUUUGUUUUUAUUAUGGUGUCCUAAAGCACAAGGAGAUUUUACUCGUCACUAGCCGGCCCUUGCCAACCACUAAUGAGUAAAAAAAAUAAUGAAAAGAAAAAAGAAAAAAAGAAGAAAAAAAUAAUCCAUGUCAGCACUGGACAACUUAUGUGGUAUGAUUGGCAUCCAUAUUAGCAAUUUCCGGUAAAAAUCGGUAAGAAUAAUUAACUUGGCAAAUUAUCAAAAGGUUUAGGACUAAAUUAGCUAAAUUGUAAUUGAAAGAUUUAAGACUGAGUUAAUAUAAGUACAAUAAGUUUAAGACUUCUCUAAUAAUUUUUUUGAUUAUUUUGACUUAGAGCUGGGCUGGCUUAAGCAUUUACUAAAAGUAAUGGUUGCUCUAGUUUUCUAUGUACUCAUCCGAAACCAGAACAAGGAAUCACUGACGAGCACAGCUUACGGGCCAUGGAGGACCGAAAUUUCUAUUUUUCUUCACAUUUGCGUUGACAUGUGGUCUGCAGAAUCUUUGGCAAAUGUCCUACUUACUUCCCCGACAUUUAUGCUUGGGCAGGGUCCUUGAUUGUCCCUUGGCGAUUGCGGUGGACAUACACAACUCAAUGAAAGUGUUCCGCUCCCUUUCAUUUUUAAUGGAAAGUUCAGAUUUUAGUAAACUUGUCAACAUUGCAUUUAUAGCAUAAAUAUUUUGACAGUCUCUAGCGCGGGCAGGUCGGUCCCCUUAAACGUGUAAGACAAGAUAUGAAUGAUAUAAAUCAACAAGAUAAUCGGAGAAUAGGAAAAGCGAUAAAUUAUAGAAAUAACAAGUAAGAGAAAAUUGAGGGAGUGUAUAAAGAUUCAAACCCUUGACCUAUUCUCUGAGUGUACCUUGAAAAGUACAAUUCAAAAUUUUCUAUUAUGAGAAAAUAUGUCAACAACUUACUUGUAUCAUUUUCUUUAAUCAAAAGAGACGCCUGUCUUUUCUUGUUGUUGGGAAUAACGGAUCCCCGAAAACCAGAUUCGACACUAAAUCGAACCCCUAAAUCAAUGCGGAAGACGAAGCCCGGGAAAAACACGUAUCACUGAUCGUAAAGUACACAACGGAUUCGAGCGUACCUUGUUAGCCACAGAUUAGACACCGACGCGAUAGAGGAAGAAAAUCUGUCCCUUGUUCGAUCCGAUGACGCCUUGAAGGGAAGACAGUGUUGCCGUUUGCUUACUGUUUUGUUUUUAGGAGGGAGAGAGCGUUGGAGAGAAGACGUAUGUUGAAUUAUCCAAGCGGUGUCUUCUCUCUCUCUCUCCUCCCUUUUAUACCUUCCCCCAUCCACGGGCCCUAUUCCCGUGGGCCGGGCCUUUUGGGCCCAGCAUGGGCGGACGGGCCUUAAGCCCAUCACCAAUUAAAACCAUCAUCUCCCACUCGCACAUGAUGGGCUGAACAGGAUUCUCUUUACCUCUCUUCAACAUUCAUACUGGUGAAUAAUCCGUGCGACCAGCAUACUUUGAGAGCUCGUUGCUAUACAUCUGUUAGGAAUAUAUAGCAGCUCAUAAUGGGCAUCACAUCCUAAGUAGAUUUAGUAUGCAGUACCCUAGAUCGAUUGAUCACAUUUAUAUCUCUCUUGAUCUCUUUCAAACAAUGAUAUAUAUAUAUAUAUAGAUUUCAACAAAUCUAUAGAAAAUUGGGAAAUUCCUAUAUAUAUAUAUAUUGUAUUCACAAUUAUGAUUAUCCCAAAGACAGUCAUAAUUGGUUAACCGGUGAAUACAAAACUACAAUGUGAUUCUCCAAAAUCGAUCUUCCUAUUUCCUUCAAACUCUCAAUUUCAGUUCAGCUUGCUUUUCUAGAAAUGUCCCAUUAGAUCGAAUCAACUCAUGACCAUUGGCAACAUCCUAAGAUAGCAAACACUAAAUAGAAACCUUGAGAAUAAGUAAAAGUCAUGAUGGGACUAAAAAAUUGAGGAACUCUUUUCCUCAAGAGUCUCACACGUCAUAAAAAGUUGAGAUCAAACUUUUUGCCACUCUUAUUGGUCGUCUCAUGCAUACGUAGUAUGAAAUACGUAUUACGGUAUUAACUCCUUUCCCAUGGAGCGUAUGUCUACACCUUUCAAUACCGUACAGAUGAUAGUUCAGAUAUACCCAAUGUCUAACUUGAGUUCACGUAUCUACUCAUUCAUAAAAUUCAUCAGAACUCACAUCUGGCAUCAUAGACAGAUAAAGUAAAAUAUGUGGGGUAUUUUACUUUCGGACAUAAUAAGUAUUAUGUCCUCAUCUUAACACCCAGUUAAGGCGACAUACGUAUUUUAAGCUUGAGCUCUCGAUUAUCACCUAGAUAAUAAGCUUAAAAACAGUCUCAUCUCUAUUUAUCACACAGUAAAUAGAGGCGAUUAUCCGUGUGAGUGGGCUAAUCUUAUAUCUGUCCGACAUACUUUCUUAACUUAAAAUAAUGCACUGAGCAUUAAGAUGCAUAAAGAUCAAACAAAGAUUCAUAGGCAUUAAUGAUGAAAAAACACAAAUUCAUCAAAUGUGAACACUUAGGAAAAUUACAAUAUUCAGUACAUCAGCCUCUACGCAAUCCUAGAGAUUUCAUAUAGCCACAAAACACAUCUCUAGGCAUUGGCUUUUUCAUAGGAUCUGCUACCAUUCUAUGCGUAGUAUGUACUCUAAAUUCACAUCUUUUCGUGCAAUUAUAUCCUUGACAAUAAGUUAUACUUGGUAUAUAUAGGUUUGGUCUUGCCAUGAUAUUUUGGAUCUUUGGUAUACGCUUUUGCUGCUUGGCUAUCACAAUUAACCAACAAUGAAUCUGCAGCACUUCCAAUAACACCUAAAUGACCCAAAAAUUCUCUUAAGCCAAACACCUUCUUAUACUGCUGCUGAUUAUGCCACGAACUCAGUUUCCAUCGUGGACAAGGCUAUACACUUUUGUUUCUUACUGCUCCAACAUAUGGUGCCAUUAUUCGGUAAGAAAACAAACCCAGAGGUAGAUUUUCUUUCAUCUAAAUCUCCUCUCCAAUCAGCAUCGGAAUAGCCUUUGAGUUGCAGAUCCUUUCCAUAAUAACUCAACGUAUAAUCAGCAGUCCCCUUUAGAUACCUUAGUAUUCAUUUAACGGCUUUCCAACGUGCUUGACCUAGAUUGGAUUGGUAUAUGCUCACCAUUCCAACUGCAUAACAUAUGUCAGGUCUUGUACACAUCAUAGCGUACAUCAAGCUCCCAACAUCACUAGUAUAAGGAACAUGUUUCAUUUGUUCCUUCUCUUGUGGAGUCCUUGGACACAGUCUAUGGCUCAAUCCUUCACCUUUUGCAAUAAGAGUGUCAAUGGGUUUACAAUCCCAUAUCCUUCAAUUCAAAAUUGGAAGACAACCAACUCUUGACAUUAUUAACAAACUCCAUAUUACUUCCGGCAAUUAGUAUAUCAUCAACAUAUAAUGAUAUGAUCACAAAUUGAUCCUUGGAUCUUUUGAUAUAUAUAUAUAAUGAUCCUUAUCUAUCAUUGUAAAGUCAUAUGCCAUUAUGGCAUUAUGAAAACAUAUAUACCAUUGUCUUGACGACUGCUUAAGGCCAUAUAUCGACCCCCAAAGUCGACAUACCUUUUCUUCUUGGCCUUUCACUAUGAAACCAGCAGGUUGUUCCAUAUAUAUUCCUUCCUUUAAUUCUCCAUUGAGGGGAGCAAUCUUUACAUCCAUCUAAUGUAACUCAAGAUCCAUACUAGCCAUUAUUGCCAGAAUAAUGCGAAUUGAGAUAAAUCUUACUACAGGAGAAAAUGUAUCUUCAUAAUCUAUUCAUUCCUGUUGAUUAUACCCCUUCACCACAAGGCGAGCCUUAUGCCAUUCUAUCGAGCCAUCAGCCUUUCGCUUUAUUUUGAGAACCCACUUGUUCCCAAUAGCUUUGUGUUCUUUUGGAAGAUCAACCAGUUUCCAGACUUGGUUUGAUUUCAUUGACUCCAUUUCCUCUUCUAUUGUAUUAAUCCAUUUUUCCUUACUAGGGCAAUUCAAAGCCUCAUUAAUAUUUCUUGGCUCAUCCUCAUCUUGUGGAGCAACCAUAAAAGUUUCCCCUUCAAUGUCAAAAAUUUCGACAGGGAAUACUCUGGCGACUUGUUCGCCGUAUGGGAGAUUGUACACUUAGCACAUCAUUCCCCAUUAUACUCCCACUAGGAUUAGAUAAUGAUAACGUUGCCUCAUCACGUGGUUGCAAUUGAGAAUGAGUUGAAUUCAAUUCAUCACUUCUCAUAUUACUCCCACUUGGACGAACUCCACUAAUAUCAUUAUCUUGAUCCAAGGUUUCAAAUAGGGGUAUCUUCCCCUAUUUUGCCCUUCUUAGGAAAUUCAUCCACUAAGAAUGUGACAUCCCGUGAUUCAAAUUCAGUUAUACUCCAACUUUCUUGCUCACCUACGAAUACAUACCCUUUCGAGUGUUCGGAGUAUCUCAUUAAAAUACUCUUCUUUUCUUUAGGACCCAAUUUCCCAAACUUGUGAGAGGACUUAUGAGUAUAGGCAGUACAACCCCAUGGCUUAAGAAAACUUAAGUCCGGUUUUCUACAUGUCCAUAACUCAUAUGGAGUGAAACUAACUGAUUUGGAAGGCACCCAAGUAAGUAUAUAGGCAGCAGUUAACAACGCAUCACUCCAAAAGGUGAUAGGUAAGUUAGCAUGUGCCAUCAUGGACCUAACCAUUUCCAUUAGGGUUCUGUUUCUUCUCUCUGCAACACCAUUUUAUUGAGGAGUAUAUGGAAUAGAUAACUGUAUUUCUAUUCCUUUUCAUCACAUUAUUUUCUGAACUCAUCAAAUAAAUAUUCUCGACCUCGAUCGGAUCUCAAUACUUUUAUUUUCUUGUCUAAUUGAUUUUCUACUAAGUUCAUAAACCUUUUUGAAACAACUUAUGCUUCAGAUUUAUGAUAAAUCAAAUAGACAUAUCCGAAUCGAGUAUAAUCAUUUAUAAAAGUGAUGAAAUAAACAGCCCCUUGCCUUCCUCUCAUAUUCAUUGAACCACAGACAUCAGAAUGGACUAAAUGUAGAGGAAAUUCAGCUCUUUUACCUUUUUCAAAUGGUUUCCUUGUCGUUUUCCCUACUAGGCAAUGCUCACAUAUGGGCAACUUGACUUUUUCAAUGUUACCCAACAAGCCCUCUUUAGCUAGUCUAUUCAUACGUUGUUGGCCAAUAUGACCAAGUCUAGCAUGCCACAUAAUCACAUCAUUAUCAUAUGCAAUUAGGAGACGUGAAACAAGGGAAUAACAAAUAUUGACAUCACCAUAGUCAACAUUUAGUACAAUAAAACCAUCCAGAAAGUGACCACAACCAUAGUAGUUUGUAUCCAAAUACAAAUCUACACCUAUAUUAUGGAAGUUCAUAUAAAAAACAAGUUUAACCAACACCAAAAAACAGACGUUAAAUUUCGACGAAUCUCUGGAGUAUAUGGAACGUCAUGUAGGAACAAGAUGCGUCCACCACGCAUGUUCAAUUGGCAGGUGCCAAUCCCUUUAACUUCAUUUCUGGAGUUAUAUCCCACAUAGAUCCACUUAGUUCCAGUCGGUAUCGUCGGAAUUCCACGAAGGAUUCUCUAUCCUUCGCUACAUGGUCUGUCUUUCCUGAAUCUAUAGUCCACAAAGGAUUGGAUUCAGCCAAUAAUUCAGAACUUGACACAUAAUCAAAGUUCUCAAAUGUACAAGAGGUGUUUACCUUUUUCGGCUCACAACAGUUGCGAGCAUAGUGACCUUUUCUUGUCACAAUUGUAACACCUCACACUUGACUUUUUCUUCUCUUGAGGACGUUUUCCUCUUUUGUGUUGGUUAAUUCUUGAUUUCUUACAACAAGAACUUGAUCAUUUGCAUUCCCACAUAUUGAUCGAAUCAAUAUGCUUGCGCUUAGAGCUUAAAGCCCUUUUUGAGCUAGGACCAGCAUAGCCAAUGUCUAUUUUCGGCUAGAAUGCCGAUAGGCAGUCAUUUACUAGCUCAAGGUGGUGCACAGCAUUCUCAAGAUCUUCCAUAACAUGGUCAAGAGCUUCUAGUGCUUAUUGCUUUUCCAGCACAUAUUGAAUUUUCAUAUUCAAUAUUUCACAAUUGUUGCCAUUCAUAUCAGUAAUUACGUUUUUAGUUGCUGAAACCAUCGAUCUGAACACAUCAGACUUAUAUGCACGAAUAAUUAAUGCCUAUCAUUUAUGCAUCAAUUUUGCACAGACCCAUCAUAUUAAUGAACAAUUUCAAGUAAGGUUUUAGAAUCAAAAGGUCACUACGUUUCCAAUCAUCCUCCAAAAAUCCUAACUUAAAACUAUCAUUAAUAUGAUUGUCAUAUGCAAAAUCAAUUCUAUGAAGCUACAAAAACUUCUAAACUACCCACAGCUAAUUACCCACAGCAAUCAGCAAUUAACAGAAAGCAACAGAUAAUAUGAUAUCCAAUAAAACAUUAAUGCUUUCAACACAAUACAACAAUCCAUUACACUAAGUAAUAUACACAGAAGAAAAUAUCAACAUAGAAAAAAGAUAUUCACACUCAAUAACAUCUCAAACUAAUCUAAAAAAUAAAUAGGGAAUGUCCUUUCUAAUCUAUCAGUCAAAACAUCUGAGAAAAAUGAAGGCACAUUUGCCAACCAUGGAAAAACUUUUGGAGAGCUCUCAUGUCGCCACCAAGGCGCAUUUACUCUACGCCAUGUGGCGCUCAAUCUAAGGGUUGAAGUUUUGGCCAACUCAAUCCUAUAGUACUCUCUUACAAAAGCUUCCACUAGCCUUCUAUAAUCCGGGACCACGUUGACUUCCCAUAGCCGAUCUAACACUGCUUGCCAUUUAGGUGGAAGAGUGUUCAUCAAAGCCGGCACCUUCUCAAAGUCCGGCAUAAGAUAACCAUUCAAGAUGAUUUCCUGUAUCAUCUGAUUGACCUUGACCAUGUGUGAUACUAAAUCACCAUCAAGCCACUGAUAAUCAGCUAACUCUUUCAUCAGCCUUUUCAGUCUAGCUCUUCAUUCGUCCGUUCUCGAGAUUGCAGCUAUCCUUGCAUAACGCAUCAUAGUUCCUGCAACAAAUGCAGAACUAAAAUGGAUCACUUUUAAUCCACAAUAAACAAAAUGGAAAAUACAUAAUUUUCCAUGAUUCAUGCAACAAAUGCAGAAUAAAAAAUGGAUUACCUCUAACCUACACAGACAUAAUUGAAAAAGAAACAUUUUUUUUUUCGGGUCAACGGUCGUCGGUCAACGGUCGUCGGUCAACGGGUCAACGGUUAGGUCGUCGGACCGGUCGGACCGGACAGACCGGUCGGCCGGUUCGGGCGAACGGAUGGCACGUGCCGCGCGCGUGCCAGCGUCCGCGGUUCGGGUCGGGUCGAGUCGCUGGCCGGUGACUGCCCGGCGAAACGUCGUCGGCGCUGACGUCAGCGAUGACGUCAGCACGCAUCGGUUCGCCGACCGGCGCGUGCCGGUUCGCCGCCGGCGUCGCGCACGUGCCAGUUCGGCCACCAGCGCAUGGGACGCACGCGCUGGCCGAUGCCAGCGCUUCGAGCGCGUCGCGCCCACGCGCAACGGCUUCUGGCCGCGCGUGUGGGCGCGUGCGGUAUCGCCGGGCGGCGCACGACAUAUCGCCGGACUCGCCUCGACGUCGCCUUUCUUCCUAUGCUAUUAGAAUUCGAUUUUGACUUACGGAAACUCGAAAAAAUUGAUGAACAGUGCUCGAGUGUCGGGAUUUCUCACCCCGAUCUGUGCCGGCCGAUUUUCUUCACGAAAAUUCAAUCAAAAAACAUGAAAAGGGUCGGGAAAACGUGAACUAGGGCUCUGAUACCAAUGUUGGGAAUAACGGAUCCCCGAAAACUAGAUUCGACACUAAAUCGAACCCCUAAAUCAAUGCGGAAGACGAAGCCCGGGAAAAACACGUAUCACCGAUCGUAAAGCACACCACGGAUUCGAGUGUACCUUGUUAGCCACAGAUUAGACACCGACGCGAUAGAGGAAGAAAAUCUGUCCCUUGUUCGAUCCGAUGACGCCUUGAAGGGAAGACAGUGUUGCCGUUUGCUUACUGUUUUGUUUUUAGGAGGGAGAGAGCGUUGGAGAGUACGUUGAAUUAUCCAAGCGGUGUCUUCUCUCUCUCUCUCCUCCCUUUUAUACCUUCCCCCAUCCACGGGCCCUAUUCCCAUGGGCCGGGCCUUUUGGGCCCAGCAUGGGCGGACGGGCCUUAAGCCCAUCACCAAUUAAAACCAUCACUUGUUUUUCAGGUUAUUCCGCAUUGUGAAUCUUCAAUGGAAUUUCUUCAGAAUAUGUGGGUUGAUCUCAUCCCACCACAUUGUCUUGAAGAGUUCUUCCCAAUGAAUUUAUGUCAAUGGUUGAAAUUCAACCCGGCUGAUUGUGUGAGAUUUAAAUCUUAAUUUGAUUGGAGUAUUACUUUUGGUGUGAGUAUAUGGAUUUUUUUAGCAAUGGUGAAACAAGUCACUGCUCCAAAAAAGCUUUAUUUUUCCUUCCAACCCUAUACAAAUAAUCCAAUCACACACGAGGGAAAUCAUAGCUUUGCCCAUGAUCAACUUGUUUAAAAGUGGAUCACGUACUUCUCCGAUGAUGGUUGCUUGGGAUCCUCCACCUCCAAGACGGAUCAAAUUGAAUAAGGACGGAGCCUCUAAAGGUAAUCGGACUUGCACGAGCUGGAGGAUUAUUCCAAAAUGAAGGGGGUGAUUGGCUUGCCGGUUUUACCUCAUUUCUUGGAAUUUGUUCAUCUGUACAAGCAGAACUAUGGGCGUUACGGUUGGGACUUACCAUCAUAAAGCAACAAGGUUCCCCUAUACUCAUAAUUGAGAUGGACUUUGAGAUUAUUACAAAACUUGUCAACCAAGAAAGAAUAGUAGACAACACUAGGCUAACACUUCUUAAGGAUAUCGGGAGAAUUUUGAGCUCUCAUUUUCAAUCUAAAAUUUGUCAUGUUUUUGGCUAAGGCAAUUGGCCUACGAAUAUGCUUGUCAAUAUUGGCAUAGUGUAGCAUUUAGAUACUAUGUUCUACUUGCAGCCUCCUAGAAAAUUAGCUCAUAAUUUGUUUAGUGAUAAAGUUGAGAUUGUAGAUUGUAGACUGGUAGACAUUAAUUUUUCUUGUUUUUUACCUUACAUAUACCAAAAAAAAAAAAGGUUGGUAAUAGUAUCCUCAUUUUCAUAUCUAGAACCAAGAAAACGCCGUUUGGCCAUUUGCCUCUAUGCCUUCUCUGAAAUUUGAAUAUUUUAUUGAUAAUUAAUCAGAUGAUUCGUACUACUAUGAAUGGAGCCACCUAUUUAUAUAAAUAGCAUUUGAAACAUUUUUCUUAAGGAUGUGAGUUGGUCCUGAUUACACUAGGGAACUCAACCAAAUAGAACUGGUCUGGACUAAACAAUUCAAAGCCGGUUCACCCGUGAGUUGGAUAGGUUCAUGGGUAAGUAAUUCGGGAAUUGGUCAAGACCAGUUUUGGUCCGAGUUUAAUGUGCCGAUAGGUUGGAAUUGGUUCUGAAUUGAUGUGCGUUAGAUUGGCCAAAAUUCUCAAAAAUAUCAAUUUUUUUGCAAAACAAAACAGAGCGUUAGAUCGGUCAAACUAAAAAUUUCGGACAUGCAUAUCCAAAAAAGGGAAAGACAGAUCCCUUAUAUACUUAUAGAUCAAAUUAGAGUUUUUACAACUUAAUUGAGAAGAAUGCUUGGCUGAUAAAGAAUAUUAAUUUUAAAAAUGAUUGAAUAAAUCCAAAAGCAUUGAAGUGAAUUUAAUGUGAAUAUCCGUGUCUCCAUUUUCUCCCGCUCCCUUCAUCCCAAAUUCAAAACCAAUUAAUAGCUCAUUUGACCCCAUCCCAGGCCUUUCCCACAACAGUGAUCUCUCAAUUUCCACCACCAUCUCUCAAAACAUCUCCGCCGGCGCGCCUCCGACGGCACCACAACCACCAUCAUGAACCUCUCCUCCUCUCCCCCCGAAGCCUCGCUAGAGCAGCAGAAUUGGGGGAGCUGGAAAAAGAAACGAAGCUUCGAUUUUCAUAUUCGCUCUUCAAAGUUCCAUCUUUUUCUUGUGUAAAUUCAUAGCAAUUGAUCAAUUGUCUUAUGACAUUCAUUCACCUAGAUUGCGAUUUCUCCCGGGAAAAGACCGACCCCGUGAGUUCUAAUAGUCUUCGACGUGACUCACCAAAUGGCACUGCGACCGCCAUUGGCGAAGCUCGAUUUCCAUACAUGUAGGGGAGGGGAGAGAAUGAGGAGGCUAGUUUUUAUUGAGUAAAUGUGUUGCAACGGAAAUGAGCUUGAAAUGGGUUUGUUCCCAAUCCAAUUAGACCUAUUUACACUUAGGCAUUUAUUUCUUAGACACAUUUAAACUGCUUUCAAACAUUUUAGACUACUCAUUUAUGACCAUAAAAAAUGAGUUAACACUUUGACACCUCUAUCUAGAACCAAUGAUCCUUAUUUGUAUUUUUUAACGUUACAAAAUAAAUUACAUUUGUAGUUCCUUUCUCUGUCUUCUCUUCCCCUUUUUGAAUUGCUGGCACCUUUGUUAUCCUUUAAAUCUUCAUACCUACAAAGAAAAAGUUCACAGGUUAGGAACAUGCUUAGUAACCCAAUAGCUAUCAGUUCUAGGGGUGAGCGGUUCUAGAUUCUAUAUAGGUUCCGCCUAGAAUUUGAAAGUUAUCAUGCAUACUAUAAAACCUGGAACCUACCCUAUUACAGGUUCCGGGAUUAGUUCCAAACUCUACCCAAGUUUUAUUUGUGUAAUUAAUUGAAUGAUUGUAAUGAAUCAUCAUUUUUAAUGAUCACCACUUACUGGUAUAGUCCACUUACCACGACUUAUAUAAGACAUACGAAUAAUAUAAAAUAUUGACAAAGCAAAAGUUUCAAUUAUAAAAUGGAAACUUAGAUUAGUGGUUCCAAAUUAUACAUUUAACAUUGGAUGUUAUAGAAUUUCACAAAAUUGUGCGAAGACAUAAGUUAAGAAAAAUACAAAAACUUAUUUGAGGUUUUAAGUUUCAGGUUUCAAGUUUCAUAUUCCAUCAACCUAGAACUUGGAACGUACCCAUUAAAAUAGGUUCCCCAAUUUUUAGAACAUGAAACUGAUCUUGUAUAACUUGGAACCUAGAAUCAUAUAGGUUCUUAUUGGUCCGGUUCUUAGGUUCCAGGUUCUAUUAUGGAACUAUGCUCAUCCUUAAUUAGGUCACCAGAAGUAAAUUAGCAAAAUCUUCAUGCUCCAUCAACUUUCAUCUUGGCCGGGGUCGCGUGGGAUCCGUGUCAGGCCAAGGCGAUCUGUUUUCGGGCCUUCAACUUUCGUUUCUUUAUAGAUGGUCCCUGAAAAACUUAAGCUUCAUAUAGGCAGUGCGAUCUUUUCUCUGUUUUACUACUGCUGAUGUGCGUGUUGGUCAUCAGAAAGAGCUUGGAAACUCGAGACCGCAUAUUGUAAAACAAACACGGGUCGCCUUUUCGCUUCCGCGAUCGAGCAAAGACACCUGCACGUCCACCAUCUCUCAUUGAUCCGUCCAUUGUCGGGAAGUCCCUUGUGGGGGGGCCCCAAAAGGCUUAACGAGAAAGGCUAAAACCAUGAUGAACCGUUCUAAUCAGCGUUUCGCAAGGAUCGGUGCGAGUGCGGUUGAUAUGAUUGAAGAGUGAAAGUAAAAGCAUCUGAUCCUUUUAGGACUUGAUAACUUCUUUUUAGGGCGGGUUAGAAAAAGAGAGGGAUGCGAUAUCGACAGAGAUUAAUGAUUUAGGUCACCUUCUAAUGAUGAAUCUCGGGAUUCGAAGAAAAUUUGACUCGUUUUUUUUUUAUUAUAAAUUAUUUGACUAAUAGUGAGCAUACUAAGACGGAUCUACUAAAUUGUCCGUGAAGUGAUGUGAUCGAGCUUUAUUGAAAUAUUGAACACGACCCAUUUUUUCAAACACUUCGAUCUAUCAGGUCGUUUAAUAAACUAGCAUAGUGAAUCAAUUUUUCAUGUACCUAGCUGUUGACACCUAAAUUUUGGCGACCCAUUUAGACAUUUAAAAAUUAGGGGUUAAUUUUAUCCCUGAAAAAAUAAAAUCACAUGGCAUAUAGUUUAGGAACAUUUUUGUUUAUUUUAUUGGACCAACGGCGAGUGCAACAUUUUUCACAUAUUCCGUUCAGAUUCUUCACACAUUUAGGCAAUAUACACAAAAUGAUAUAUUUUCAAGCAAAAAGGAAAAUUUUGGAUGGGAUAUUUGAUAAAUACAAAAUGUAAUAUUACGCGGGGUGUAACGAUAUAUUCGGUGGUAUUUUGCAUGAGCAAAAUUAGAAAGUAAAAUAUACCACGAAGAUCCAAUUUUUUGGCUUAUAAAAGGCACCGCGUACGGACAAAGUUGAAAAAAAAAAGAGGCCACACAGAUUUAUACAUACGGCCAUAUUGGGGGUUUUCUUCAUCUUGCUCGGCCAAAGGAAAGAGAAGCCGAAAAGAGAAAAAUUCUCCAUCUUUUUUAGGGUUUUGUGAGAGUCAAAGGGGCUUGCUUUUGCUGAAAAAGUGAGAAGGGACAGCAACAGUGAAAAAGCAGAGAAAAAGUGAAAGAGAGAGAGGGUACGAAGGCAGAGUGAGGGAGACGUGAGAGAGGCGGCAGGGGAGAAAAGAAAAAAAAAACAAAGAAAGAGAAAAAAGGAAGCUGCAGUCGUCUUCUUCGGGGGACUCCUUCGCCAAAGUCCCUAACUGCCUGAUCCACUAACGCCGGAAGCCUCCGCCCAGCUCUGUUGCAACUUGCGGCGACCAAGCAAUCGCCGGCACUCACAGCUCCUCGAGCCACCAUACGUCUGAGCGACGCCCCUGCCGCCGGCCAUCUCCGCUCCGAGCCUCCUCGCACCGUUGCUCAACGAUCUGACGAAGCCACCGCCGUGCAGUAGUACCCCGACG
rnacentral:lncRNA from 1 species